rnacentral:lncRNA from 1 species
CAAGGUGAAAGUCUCCCCUACCGGAAAGAAUGAGACUCUUCGUGAAUAUAUUGAAAGGUUCACUAAAGAGGAAGUAGAAGUCUGGGGAGUAAAUGACAAAGUUAAAUGCUUCGGCUUUAAAAAUGGCCUAAGGCCCAAUUGCAUGCAUGUAUAGGGGGGAGUUAGGUCUUGAAGUGCUCAAAAAUAUGAGUGAGUUGCUAGUAGAAGCUAAACCCUUCAUUAACUACAAAGAAAAGCUGCUUGUAAAUGAGAUAGUGAAAAAUUAAGAUAACCUAGAAUAUUUGAUAUGUCAUGGACACAUCAAAAUUAAGUUAUAAUUUAGGCAAAAUGCAACAUUGAGUUUUUAAGUUUAAUGUUUGUAACAAUAUAAUUUUUGAGUUUCUCCAAAUAAAAAUGAUUUUAUACUAUGAAGAAAUAUUAAUCCCUCAAAGUCUUUCCUUCUUAAUGCCAUCUAUUUCUUCCAUUUACUUCUUUCUUUUUUCCAAAUCUCUCCAUCUUUUUCUCUCCAAACUUGCAAACAAAGUUGGACCACGAAGAUCCAAAAUUUAAUCUUAAAAUAACUCAUAGCAUACUUUUCGCAUAGAAUUACUUGAGAGGAAAAGUUUACUCAGUUUAUAAAUGGCUUUACCUAAUAUUUUAAGGCGGGAAUAAUCAUUGUACCCUAACAUAAAGCAAAAACGUACUAGUUGAACUAGUAAUAAUGGCAUCGAUCAGUCCUCAUAGAAAAAUCAAAGGUGUCAAAAUUGAAAAAGAAAGCUCUACACAACUUGCCAUCGGAGCUGGGAAAGCACUCUUUGCUUUAAUGCAACAAUUCCAACCUAACUUUAACAGGUUAUAAUUCUCUAAAUUCCUCUAACUUUAACAAAAGUUAAUAUCCUUGUGAUUUUCAAGAGAAAUUCUUAACUUUUUUAUAGUAAAAAGUACAGAGCUCUAAUAUUUAUGAGACUUGUGUUUAUAAUUGAUUUUAAGAUUAGAUUCAACGAAUAUCCUAUUGUGUUUAUGUGGCUGCCUGGCUUUGGUGAGCCUGCUUUAUUCUCUCUUUACUCAGCUUUUGGUGCUAUGUGGGUUUUGGGUGGUUUUUUUGUGUUCUCUUUAUGCCUUUAUAUUGCCUUUUAUUUUAUUGUUUUUAGUUCUACUGUAGUGCAAUUGUUUAUUCAUCUCAUUUUUUAAUCAAAAAAUUAAAUAAUAUUAUGUAAAAGAUUUGUUUUUUUAAAGGAAAAAUAGAGUUGUUGUUAGAAUUAUAAUUUAAAUGAGGGUCUUGCUAACUGUGUCUUGUUAAGGAUUCAAAAAUAAAAACAAUAUCUUUUAUGCCGAUAAAAGCAUUUAUUAGGAUUUUUUUUUGUCAAGUAGCCUAGUGGCUAGAGCUAACACAAUUUAUUGUGGAGAAGUGGGGUAUCCGAGGUUCGAACCACAAUCCCUACACAUAAUAUGCAAUAUUUCUACCAACUGAGCUAAACUCACGGGGAUAUAAAUUGAAGGAUAAAUAAUGAUAUAAAUCGAAGAUAAAUAAGAAUCAUGUAUGCCCUUUGCAAGCACUAAGAUAAUAAAAGUAAUUUUUUAUUAACAAAAGUAUUUUUACGAAUAGCUAAAACAAACUCACCCAAAAUCUUUCCUACGAGUCAUCAUUAUGUUGUCCAAAAUGUUCAUUACAGACUAAAAAUGGCAUGAAUAUAAAGAUAUUUUUGAACAAAUUCGUGCCGCCCACGUGCCUUCUUCAGCAGAACCAUGUCUUGGACAAGAUACAAUGGAUUUCAUGAGUGACAUUGAGCAACAUUAUUUCCCUAAAAAAAAAAAAUUGAGCAACAUUGUUCGUGGCUGGCUUUUAUGGGGUGGACAACUAAGAGUAUUUCUUUGUCUAUAACUUUAAAAUAUAAUAUUUUUUAAAUAAAAUUAUAUUUAUUAUUUGUUUCUAUUUUUGAAUGCUUAACAAAUAUCUUUAAGGGCAUUUUGUUGGUAUGGUACGUAAUUUAUUUGGUCAAUAUUGGUGUGACCAUUUACUACAACCACAAGCUAGCCUUUACUAGGAGUCAUGAGUGGCACAUGCCCAUUUAAUUUGGCUAUCUAUAAAUGUAAGAGCCAUUUAUGAAGAAUCUCAAACUCAAUCUCACAACAAAAAUGAACUCUCUUCGUGCUGUAGCAAUAGCUUUGUGUUUUAUUGUGGCUUUGUUUGGAGUGUUACCUUUCCCUUCCAAUGCACAACUUAAUCCAUCCUUUUAUAGCAAAACUUGUCCAAAUGUUAGUUCCAUUGUCCGGGAAGUCAUAAGAAACGUUUCUAAGACAGAUACUCGUAUGCUUGCAAGUCUUGUUAGGCUUCACUUCCAUGACUGUUUUGUUCAAGUAUGUAUACUUUACCUUCUACUUGUAAAUGAUUUGUAUUAUGCUAAUGUUAUAAUCAUAAUGUAAAUAAUGUAAUCUAUGACUUGAACAGGGUUGUGAUGCAUCAGUUUUGUUGAAUAACACUGCUACUAUUGUCAGUGAACAAGAUGCUUUUCCAAACAGAAACUCAUUGAGAGGUUUGGAUGUUGUGAAUCAAAUCAAAACAGCAGUAGAAAAGGCUUGCCCUAACACAGUUUCUUGUGCUGAUAUUCUUGCUCUUGCUGCUGAAUUAUCAUCUACACUGGUAUAUAUAUGCCUCAUCCUUUAUUAUAUAGUAUUUUUAUCCACCAUUGAAUUUCAAAUGGAAAUUCUUAUUGACUCUUUUUGUUUUGUGAUGUAAUAAAAUAGUCUCAAGGUCCUGAUUGGAAAGUUCCUUUAGGAAGAAGAGAUGGUUUAACAGCAAACCAAUCACUUGCUAAUCAAAAUCUUCCAGCUCCUUUUAACUCAUUAGAUCAACUCAAAGCUGCAUUUGCUUCUCAAGGCCUCAGUACUACUGAUCUAGUUGCACUCUCGGGUAUGUAACAUUUUUAAAGUUUUUGUUUAAAAAUUUCUAAUUAGUAGUAUGUAUGAUUAUUGAUCUAUAUCUGUUUCAAUUGCAGGUGCUCAUACAUUUGGAAGAGCUCAUUGCUCUUUAUUUGUUAGUCGAUUGUACAACUUCAGCAAUACGGGAAGUCCCGAUCCAACUCUUAACGCAACUUACUUACAACAAUUGCGCAAUAUAUGUCCCAAUGGUGGACCUGGAACUCCCCUUGCAAGUUUUGAUCCAACUACUCCUGAUAAAUUUGACAAGAACUAUUACUCUAAUCUUCAAGUGAAAAAAGGUUUGCUUCAAAGUGAUCAAGAGUUGUUCUCAACAUCUGGUGCUGAUACCAUUAGCAUUGUCAACAACUUUGCCACUGAUCAAAAAGCUUUUUUUGAGAGCUUUAAGGCUGCUAUGAUUAAAAUGGGAAAUAUUGGUGUGUUAACCGGGAACCAAGGAGAGAUUAGAAAACAAUGCAACUUUGUUAAUUCAAAAUCAGUAGAACUAGGUCUUGUCAAUGUUGCCUCAACAGAGGAGGGUAUGGUUAGCUCAAUGUAAAUGUAGUGACUGGAGCCAAAUAAUAAAUAAGCUAUAACUAGGCACAUUCAUGGUAUGUGUUACAUAUCCUUAAAAAAAAAAAAAAAAUGGUAUGUGUUACAUAGUUAUUAGGCGUUUGGUGAACAAUUUGUUUUUAUUUGGUACAAGUUUCUUUUUUUAUGUGAAGUACUCCCUCUAUUCCUUUUUAUGGGAUCUUGUAACGAAAAUCACGAGUAUUAACAAAACUUGUUGGAAUAAUAAAUUUGUCACAAAUAUGUAUGACUAUUACUAAAUUACUCUUUGUUAUAAAUAAGCAACAUGCUAUAUUAGUCUAUUAAUUCACUUAUCUAUCUUAACAUAUAUCAUAUUAUUUGUUUAAAUAUAUUCAGAAGAAAUAGUCUUUUAAACAAGAUACAAGUUAUAUCACCCUUUAGAAACCAAGAAACAUACCUAAAAAAUAUACCUACGAUAGGCUACAAAUCAAACUUAAACCUUAAAUGUUUUGACAAAUUAUAUCGGAUCUUGCAAAGCCUAACUCGACUUAACAUAUAUUUACCCCUUAUCACUAUGGAAGAUUUCAUGUGCCUGAGGUCUUCAGGUUUGAUAACAAUGUGGUUGGCUACAUGCGUGUAUAUAUGGAAAUGUUAACUUGUGUCCUUAGAUCACAUUUUUUGGAACUUAAUUAGAGUGGAAAUUUUGUCUAGGAAAUCAUGUCAAUUUAUUCUUCUAGAGAUUGAAAGUUAAUGUUUUGUAAUAAAUAUUUAUCAUUUAUGGAAUCUUUAGCUAAUAUAUAAAUGACUUUAUCGUUAAUAUAAGCGGAUGUCCAUAUAACAAUUGGGUUAAUGAGUCAUAAUAUUAGACCAUGCAUAUUAUAUUGUUUGUUCUCCAAGUUAUCUCUGUAAAUAAAACUCAAAUGUAACCUAAUUAUACACCACAAAAUAAUAAUAAUAAUAGUAACAAUAAAAUAUUUUUUCUCGGAUUAAUCGAUUUUUUGAUCGGAUACCGAGUUUUCAAAAAAGAAGAAAAAAUAAUAAUAAUAAUAAUAAUAAAAUAUUUAUCUCUCUUCUAUCCCUUCCUCCCCUUUCUUUAUUCUUGUUCUUAUUUCCUUAGUUUCAUAACAAUUAAUUUAUUGAUUUAGAAAACAAUUAUACAGAAACACUUUAAUUUAUGAGUGUGCCACAGACGCUUUCAACAUACAUGUUUGUAUAUCGGUUUUGAUGGGCUGUGUCUGACAUAAAAUUGGCGAGCUUUGUAUUUGCAUAUAAAGUGUGCCUCAUUCUUUGGGUUUUAUUUGAGUUUUUAUAUUAAUUUUUUUACCAUUCAAAUAAAAGAAGACCAAAACAACUUGGGUCAUAGUUUUAGUGCAACUUGGUGGCAUAGGAGAUACCAAUUUGCACGGAAAAGUGAUAAGUUCUGUCAAAAAAUAAUUAUUAUUUAAGUCUGGCAGGACCAGGGAGGGAUGAGAAUGAGGGAGAAAUGCUUAUUAUAGAUUAAUGAUCAAAUCAACAACGAAGAAAAGAAAAUGCUUAACAAGAUUAAUUAUUUUCUUUUUACAAACGUUCGAUUAAAUUAUUAAAAAUGUAUACGUUUGGAUCAAAAUUUUAAAAUAAUUUUUGACUGUGCAUUUUGUUAAUCAAAUUAAAUGUUUCAUUAACAUUAUCAUAUUUGUCUUUUUAUAAGAUACAAUGGAUUUCAUUGAGUGACAAUGAGCAACAUCGAUUCGUGUGGUUGGCUUUUAUGGGGUCCACUUAUACGAGUAGCACGAUAUGUAUAGUAGUACUAUUUGGACCUUGUUUUAUUCGGUCAAUUUUCACACCUCAAUGGUAAUAAUGUUCUCACACAUCAACCACAAGCCUUUUCUAGGAGCCAUUCACGACUCAUUGUCCCUUCUUUUUCUAUAAAUAAGUGCUUAUUUUAUACACAUUCUCAGUAUCACUUUCACUUUCACUUUCACAACAAACAAUGAACUCCCUUCGUGCUGUAGCAAUAGCUUUGUGCUGUAUUGUGGUUGUGCUUGGAGGGUUACCCUUCUCUUCAAAUGCACAACUUGAUCCAUCCUUUUACAGGAACACUUGUCCAAAUGUUAGUUCCAUUGUUCGUGAAGUCAUAAGAAGUGUUUCUAAGAAAGAUCCUCGUAUGCUUGGUAGUCUUGUCAGGCUUCACUUUCAUGACUGUUUUGUUCAAGUAUGUAUAAUAUUCAAUCAUUCACUAACUACAUGUUCUAUUUUGCUCAUUGCGUAUGACAUGCUAUAAAUUCUUGAAAUCUUAGUAUACCUAUAAUCCUAUAGUAGUAUGAUCUUCCCAUUUAAGUAGAAUUAGUACAUAGUAAGAUAUAAUAUAAACUAGAACAAGAUCAAAUAUAGCAAAUAAAGAAUAUGUUUAGCAUGUCCUUAUGCUGCCCCUAUAUGUUAUACAAUCCAAAAAUGAAAAAAAAAAAAAAAAUCUUAAUUUUGUGUCUUAAACAUAACUUGUGUUUAAGGGCACAAAUUAACAUUCACUCUGCUCAUUAAGAAAAUAUUAAGUAAUAUAUCUAGCAAAUGAAUUGAGUUGGAAUAGUGACUUUACUUACUUACCCGGCUGAACCAAAUUCUAAAAAUUUGAGGGUUGAAAUAAAUGAAAAAUAGAAUACUAUUAGAUAUAUUUACCCUUUUGUUUUAUUAUUAAAAUAUAAUCAUUCAUUAGUAUGUCCAAUAAUUAUAGUUUAAAGUGUAUGUCUAAUAAUUAUAGUUUAAGGUUUUUUUCCUUUUUAGUGAGAGAUUUUUUUUUUUACUCAUUUAGAAGCAAUGGAGCAAGUUUUUUUUUUCAAUUAGCAAAGACAUUGUAUAAAAAACUAUGGCAUCAACCUUUUAAAUUGUACGGUUGAAGUUAAUUUUUAUUAUGCUAUUGUUAUAAUCAUAAUGUAAAUUAUGUGAUCUAUAUACUGUAACAGGGUUGUGAUGCAUCAGUUUUACUGAACAAAACUGAUACCGUUGUGAGUGAACAAGAUGCUUUUCCAAACAGAAACUCAUUAAGAGGUUUAGAUGUUGUGAAUCAAAUCAAAACAGCUGUGGAAAAGGCUUGUCCUAACACAGUUUCUUGCGCUGAUAUUCUUGCCCUUUCUGCUGAAUUAUCAUCUACACUGGUAUAUAUAUGCCUCAAACUGUACUAUAUAUUUUUCUCAUUUACCAUUGAAUUUUCAAAUCCAAUUAUUAAUUCUGCUUAUUUGUUUUGUGAUGAAAUAAAAUAGGCAGAUGGUCCUGACUGGAAAGUUCCUUUAGGAAGAAGAGAUGGUUUAACAGCAAACCAAUUACUUGCUAAUAAAAAUCUUCCAGCUCCUUUCAAUACUACUGAUCAACUUAAAGCUGCAUUUGCUGCUCAAGGUCUCGAUACUACUGAUCUGGUUGCACUCUCGGGUAUGUAACAUUUUUAAAGUUUUUGUUUAAAAAAAUCUAAUUGGUCGUUACAAUGAUGACGCCAAUGUUACAAUAAUAAUAUAUUUGAUUAUUGAUUUAUAUAUGUUUCUCGAUUUCAGGUGCUCAUACAUUUGGAAGAGCUCAUUGCUCUUUAUUUGUUAGCCGAUUGUACAACUUCAACGGUACAGGAAGUCCGGAUCCAACUCUUAACACAACUUACUUACAACAAUUGCGCACAAUAUGUCCCAAUGGUGGACCUGGCACGAACCUUACCAAUUUCGAUCCAACGACUCCUGAUAAAUUUGACAAGAACUAUUACUCUAAUCUUCAAGUGAAAAAGGGUUUGCUCCAAAGUGAUCAAGAGUUGUUCUCAACAUCUGGUUCAGAUACCAUUAGCAUUGUCAACAAAUUUGCAACCGAUCAAAAAGCUUUUUUUGAGAGCUUUAAGGCUGCUAUGAUCAAAAUGGGAAAUAUUGGUGUGUUAACUGGGAAACAAGGAGAGAUUAGAAAACAAUGCAACUUUGUUAAUUCAAAAUCAGUAGAACUAGGUUUAGUCAAUGUGGCUUCCACAGAUUCAUCAGAUGAGGGUAUGGUUAGCUCAAUGUAAUUGUAGUGAUUGGAAGCAACUAAUAAAUUAAUAAGCUAUAACUAGGCACAUUCAUGGUAUGUGUGAGAUAGUUGUUAGAUGCUUUGUGAGCUAAAAUCGUUUGUAUUUCAUUUGAAGUGUUUCUUUGAGUUGUGAGUUGAUAAUGAUCAUUUUCUGUUUCUUAUUUCGGACUUGCUUUAGCAUUAAUUUUACAAGUUUUAAGUUAAUGGAGUGCAAGACAAAGACAUCUCUUACACUAGAUUUAUCCACUUUGUAUGAUAUUUCCCAUUAAUUUACAUGCUAAUUUUGUAUAAAAAAGUAAUAAGCAAGUAUCUCCAUGGUAUAUAUUCGUAUAUUUUCUAUUACUCAACAAACUUAGUAAAAAAAAAAAAAGGGUCAUUUCAUUUAUCACCGGAUGAUAUUGAACAAUUUAUCAAUUUUACGACUUUAAAAAUCAGUGAUUUGUUCUUACUUUAGGCUCGGUCAUACAAAUACUGAUGUUAUUACCUCUUUUUUUUUUUUUUUUUUUUUUUUUUUGGAAAAAUGAUGUUAUUACCUCUUUUGAAUUAAGUUAUGGAUUCUCCAAUCCACAUAAUUUUAACACAUGACCCCAUAUAUAUGCGCGGCUAAUUUAAUCUCAUCUAAAAAGCAUGAAGAAAUAAGUUAGUAAACAUACCCUUCCAUUUACUUUGACAAAAAAACUCAAGUCUUUCUUUUCAAAUAUGGUGACAUUGGUGGUAUAUACUUAAAUCCCUUAAAAAUUUGAUUUAAGUAAUGUUUAUUUAGUAAAUAUACUUUAUUAAGCAGACUCUCUUUUCAUAAGGUUCAUAAAUUUUAAUAAUUAAAAUAUUAUUUCAUUGUUUAAAUAUGGUGAUGUAUAAUUAUUGAUUGAAAUCUAAUUUAGAAAAUUUUGUUUGAGAGAUGUUAAAUUGAAGAGACGAGUAAGACUUGAUAAGUCACAAACCCAAAUCAUUUUGAUUUGGGAACACACACAUAAGUAAGGAAGAUAAAAGAAAAUAAAUUAAAAACUCCAAAUUGGAUAUGUAUGUUUAAGUGCGUGCGCGUCCAAAUUAUUUUUGUCUAAGAUUAUGUAUUGUGCCCAAACCAAUUAAUGUUGCUCUAAAGAGAUUGAAGGUUUAUUUAUUCCUAUAAGAUUAACUUACUGUUGUGAAUUCGAACUCAAAACUCAUACCAAUACAAACUAUGAUGUGUGGAGCAAAUAAAAGUAGUAAUCAAUAUCAAAGUGAACACAAGCAACAACAAUAAUAACAACAGCUAGAUCUAAUCUAGUAAUCAAAGUGAAAAGCUCAAAACCACAAACAAAAGAUAAAGAGAGAAGAGAAACAAACACACCAAAGAUUGUUGACCCAGUUCGGUCCAACUUGACCUAAUCUGGGGGAGAGGUUGAUCUCUCCAAUCCACUAUCUAAGAGUUCUUACAAAGUGAUACAAAUGGGUUACAAGAAAUUAGCUUAAACAAGCUCACAAAGAACAAAUCUAAUUUCUACCCAUUUUCCCAAUUUCACCAAUGAACAAGAGACUCAAUGAUUUUCACUCACCCAAGGUGUUUACAAUGUUUCCCAACCCAAGAGAACUCUAAUCAAAGACCCUCAACCCUAAAGUUACCUCCUUUGAUUUCCCAAGUUUUCCUCUCUUGAAGUUCUCUCUCUUUCCUCCUUCAAAAAUGAGCUGAAACACUUAAAGAGUACACAGUGAUAGACAAAAUCGCGAUGCGCCAGUGAAAAUCGCGCCACAGUUGAAGCGUGCGACCCAAGGUACGACAACCUUAUCCACAAACCGCGUCACGCCUGCACCAAUCGCACCAUGAUUUGCCUUCAGCAGAAACCAUCCAUUCUGCCACCAAAAUCGCGCCACGCCUCCCAAAAUCACGGCACGAUUUUGGCAUUUCACAACAUCACAAUUUGAAGACAAUUUCAACACUUGUCUUUAGAGCACAAAUUAAGAAAUCAAAGAUGAAAAUAUUUUGUUGGAAAUUGUGCAUUCAAUAUUCUAGAAAUUUAAAAUCUUAUCUUCUCAAGACAUAAUUUACUACUAUAAUUUAAUUUCAUUUUUAAAUUCUUAACUUGUAUCCUAAAGGUACAAGUUAACACUACCCAAAUUAUAAAUGAAUGAUGUAGUAUUUUUGGAACCACUUAAAUGACAAGUCAACACUCCCAAAAUUACCCGAUUUUCAUUUGCUUUUUAAAAAACUGAAAUAUGAGGAAGGUCAUUGUGAGAAUGAUAUGAUUGAUAAACAAAAUCUACUUUGUUUAUAAAUGCUAUUACCUAACAUAUACAGGUGGCGAUAAUCAUUGUAGCAUAAGAUAAAGCAAAACAGGUAAACUAAUAAUGGCAAGAGUAAUGAUAUUUGAACAAAUUUUUUGGUACAGCUUUUGGGACAAUCUUGUUGUGUUCUCUUUUUAUUGGUCAAAAACAAUAUAGAGAGAAAAAGGAAGAGAAAAAAUAAGAAGAUAAUAUGAGUAUGAGAGAGAAGGUUGUACAAAAAUUAUAUAAAAAUGAUUGUACAAAUAUCAUUUCUCUAAUGACAAAGAUAGAUAAGUCCACAAAAAAAUGUCAUAAUGAAGGUGUCGAAUGUCGAAAAAGAAAACUCUAUGAAGACCCAACAAGUUGGGGCGAGCUUUAAUGCAAUACUUCCAGCUAAGGCGGAUCCAUAAAUGUGCAAGAUAGGGCUUCAAAAAAUAUAAAUAAUCGGGGCCGGCUAUAACUUGUGCAAGCAUAAAAACUACAUAUUAGUUCUAAUUUGUUGCUGUUCAACCGUCUCAAAGUAAUACUCUCGUCAUUUCAGAAUAAAUGUUGUUUAUAAAAGUUUUGUAUUAAAAUAAUCGCUGUUAUGCUUUUUCAAUGCAACUUUAAUAAAUUUAUUCUAAGUUUGCUCUCACAUUAAUCUUAUAUGCACAACUUUUAAAUCAUUAUAUUUCACUUUGACAUUAAUGAUUUAAAUGUUAUAUUACUCUUAUAUUAAUCUUAUAAGCAAAAAAUUAUGCAUUUUAGAUUCAUUCAAUUAAUGAUGUAUGUGGGCUUUAUUAUAGACCACAUACAUCAUUCAGUUUAACAUAGUCGAGUAUAAACAAAAACUUGGUUGAGUUUUCUCGAGUUUAACACGUGUUAACUCGGUCAAACUCGCCAAACAUCUCGAUUUUACCAGAAACCGAGUUUACCUCCGAGUUAACACGAUUUCAGCACCUAAAAACGUAAAUUCGUCCGAGUUUACGAGUUAACACUCAAUUUGUGGAACAUUAUCCUCAAUCCCACGUAUUACUCAACUGACUUGAGAAAAAAAAAUGCACUCUUCCCGAUUCAAUUGUCUUAGCCUUCGCUUAAAUUUUCACCAACUAGAAGGACCCUCGCCUAAUCACACAUCAGCCGAUGUCGAUUAAUAAAGUAAUUAGUUUUAGGUUAGGUUUAAACAUAGUCAUAUGCCAAUCUAGCAAGUUAAUUUUCAUAUAUCAAAAUAGUUUUUGGAAAAAUAUACAUUGUUGACAAAUUUCAUAUACACAUAAUUUUUCUUAAUUAUUGUGUAUUAGUGAAGAGAGUUUUUCAUAUAUGGAUAUAUGUGGUAGCGUGUUUGUCCGUUUCAUUAAAAAGUCACCAUUCCCUUUACUAAUUACUUUCCAUUUUAGGAGAAACACUCUUUUAUGGGUCCCACCAAAAACUCUUUUCUUCUCUAUUUAUUUGGUAACCAAACAAAGGAAAUAGUAUACUCCUCUUUUAUCUCCAACCUCUCUCUUUCGUUCUAGUUUCCUAUGGAGCUAAACAAAUAUGCUAAAGUUUGAGGGAGUAAAUGCCAGCAAAUUGAGAUGAAGAUAUUUUGAAUUCUGAACAAAUUCGUGACGACCACGUUCCCGUAUAGACAGAGCAAUUUGAUUUAGGUAAAAAUACAACAAAGGAUUUCAACAUUGAAAAUAAGAAACUUCGAUGGUGAUUUGCCAUCUUUGUGGUCCACACAUGAGAGACGUGACACUAUAGCUAGUACAACUAUUUGUAUUUACACGUUACUCCCUCCGUCCCAAAUUGUACGACGUUUUCAGACAUAUUAAAAAAUACAAUUAAUAUUGUCUGGAAAAGAGAUAUUAUGAGUUGUUUUACAAAAUUGUCCUUAAUAAAUAAUAUGGGAAAGAUAAAUGAAAGAAUUGAAAGAAGAGAGGGUAAUAAAUAAUUAAGAUUAUAACAGAAAAAGUAACAUUAAUGUUGUAUUGGUAUUGUAAAGUGACAUAUAAUUUAAGUUAAAUUUUUUUCCCUAAAGCGACAUACAAUUUGGGACGGAGGGAGUAGUUUUUAGGUCAAUAGUUACACCUUAAACCCUUAAUAAUUGCUAGGCAAUGUUCUCACCGUUCAUUGCACAACAAGACUUUAUUACUAGCCAUUAUAUUUGUAUGUCUAUAAAUAAAUGCUCACAAUAAAUUAUAAGCACAUUCUCACUCUUCAAAACAAUGAACUCCUUAGCAACUUCUAUGUGGUGUGUUGUGCUUUUGGUUGUGCUUGGAGGACUACCCUUUUCCUCAGAUGCACAACUUAGUCCCACUUUUUACAGCAAAACUUGUCCAACUGUUAGUUCCAUUGUUAGCAAUGUAUUAACAAAUGUUUCUAAGACAGAUCAACGCAUGCUUGCUAGCCUCGUCAGGCUUCACUUUCAUGACUGUUUUGUUUUGGUAUGUCUUUAGGUGACUACUUUAUAUUUCUAAUAUUAUCUUUAGAUUUAUAAAUAUUAGUUUAAAAUAUAUUAUAAUACAAUAUGGUUAGUUCGAUCCAUGCGCAACUCCUAUAUAUUAUACAACUAAAAAUGGUAAAUAAUUGUCUACUACAACUGAUCAACAGACGUUUCCUAAAAAAAACGUCAAUUAGAUAUAUCUUCAUUUGUCCCUUUGAAAUUAACUGUCUUUUGAUCGAACUUUUAUUAUAAUGUCCCUUUUACAAAAUAGAAGGAUUAGAACAAAGAAACAAUAGAAAAAUAAUUCUUAAACACCUAAAACCAUUCUACCAUUAAAGAAAGAAGAAAUAAAUGGAAAUAAUAUAUGUGAUAGGUUGUUGAUAUAAUAGGAAGAGAGAGAUGAAGAGAAAAUAAAUGUAGAAGUAGAAUGUACGUAAGAAAAGUAAGAGAGAUGCAAAUAGGGUUCUAAUAAUUGUCUUGCACUUCUUUUCUUUAUAUUUUAUAAAAUUAUGCAUUAACUAGUAUUUUCUAAAAAUUGUAGGCCAAGUAUAUGAAUCAACUUUCUUUUUUAAGUUUUUAACUUUCAAGUAAAUUUUUAAUAUGCUUUUUUACCAUAUGUUCUUUAAUUUAUGCGUCAAAAAAUAAUGUGAUGCAUAAUUUUCACAGGGAUGUGAUGCCUCGGUUUUGUUGAACAAUACUGCUACGAUCGUAAGCGAACAACAAGCUUUUCCAAAUAACAACUCUUUAAGAGGUUUGGAUGUUGUAAAUCAGAUCAAAACUGCUAUAGAAAGUGCUUGUCCUAACACAGUUUCUUGUGCUGAUAUUCUUGCUCUUGCUGCUCAAGCAUCCUCUGUUCUGGUACAUAUGCCCUAAUUCUAAAUAUAUUUCUGUAAUUUAAUGCCUCGUUGAUCAUUAAAUUUCAAAUGCAAUAUUUAAAUGAUUCUAUUUCUGUUCUGAGUAUAUAAUACUAUAAUAUAUGCAUUUGAUAAUGGUUGCAAUCCAACAAAAAUGAUCAUAUAGUUAAUUAAGGUAGCGGCGCCGUCUGUAUUUUGUUUUCAGUUUUUGCCGCGAGUUUUUAUGCGCCUUGCAUUUACUCGACGUGAAUAAAUUUUCCGUUUCAAAAAAAAAAGUUAAUUAAGGUAGCUUCAAAAUCUAGGGUUAUUUUUAUAAUGAUUAAAUAAAAAAACCAUUUCAAGAAGUUAAUCAUCUAUGAAAAUUAAAUACUACAUCACAAGGCUAAGAGUAACACUUAUUUUACCUAUGAUGAAAUAAUACAGGCACAAGGUCCUAGUUGGACAGUUCCUUUAGGAAGAAGGGAUGGUUUAACUGCAAACCGGACACUUGCAAAUCAAAAUCUUCCGGCCCCAUUCAAUACCUUGGUUCAACUUAAAGCUGCAUUUACUGCCCAAGGCCUGAAUACUACUGAUCUAGUUGCACUCUCGGGUUUGUGCUCAUUUUAGCGAUGAUGUUGACGUUACAUAAAAUAAAAAUUAUAUAUAUGAUUAUUGAUUUAUAUAUGUUUCUCGUUUUCAGGUGCUCAUACGUUUGGAAGAGCUCAUUGCGCACAAUUUGUUGGUCGAUUGUACAACUUCAGCAGUACUGGAAGUCCGGAUCCAACUCUUAACACAACUUACUUACAACAAUUGCGCACAAUAUGUCCCAAUGGUGGACCUGGCACGAACCUUACCAAUUUCGAUCCAACGACUCCUGAUAAAUUUGACAAGAACUAUUACUCCAAUCUUCAAGUGAAAAAGGGCUUGCUCCAAAGUGAUCAAGAGUUGUUCUCAACAUCCGGUGCAGAUACCAUUAGCAUUGUCAACAAAUUCAGCACCGAUCAAAACGCUUUCUUUGAGAGCUUUAAGGCUGCAAUGAUUAAAAUGGGCAAUAUUGGUGUGCUAACAGGGACGAAAGGAGAGAUUAGAAAACAAUGCAACUUUGUUAACUCAAAUUCUGCAGAACUAGAUUUAGCCACUAUAGCCUCCAUAGUAGAAUCAUUAGAGGAUGGUAUUGCUAGUGUAAUAUAAAUAAAUUAGCGUCAAUGCACUUAUUGAAAUCUUGUGACUAGAUGCCACUAAUAAAUAAGUUAUAACUAGGCACAUUUCAUGUCACUUGAAAUCCUAUGCUUUGUAUAUGAAAGGACGUGUUCUUCUUGGUAUUAUACUAUAAUGAGACUUGUAUUAUGAGUCGUGUUUAUGAUCAAUGUCACGCUUUCUUGUUUGUGACAUGCUUUGCCAUAAUUUUAUGAGUCACUUACACUUAAGCACAUUAUUUGGUUCAUAGUAAAAAAAAAGUUAUAAGCAUAUUGUAACGAUCAUAUUUGACUGCUUUUACACGAUAACACCACUUCAAUUCAAUUUACCUAAGCAAGUAUGGAAAUUCAAUUUACCUAAGCAAGUAUGGAAACAAUUAAUUGGAGGGAGGUGACAAGUCACCGAAACAAGAGAUCAUAGCAAGAAAAAAGGCCGGCUCAAAGAUUUUUUUUGAAAGAUUUGUACAAAUAAUUUAUAGAAGUUGUGAAUAUAUAAUUAAUAAUGUUCUCAGUCGUGCUUCAGGUGCAAUUGUUUCAAGGUUCGCUUGGUUGGAGAAGUAUCGUUAGUUAGAACACCGUCGCUCAACGAUGUGCUGUUUUGCGGUGGUCGUCAUUUUGGUUUUGUUUGACUUUGGGGGUUGUUUUGGUUAUGAUUAUUGUUUUUGGAUGUUCCGCCUAUAUACGACAUCGUUGCUUUGUAAAUCUUAUUUCACUUGUCUUUGUUCCUCUUGAACAAGGAUUUCUUAUUAAUAAAUUUAGCCUUUUAAAAAAAAAGUUGUGAAUAUAAUUAAACUAAUAUAUUUUGCUUACUUUGAAAUACUCUUUGAUCACGUACUUUGAAAUAUUCUACUUUUGAGUUUAUAGACAUUCUUUCAUAAAGUAAAUUUAAUUCUUCUGCUAUAGUACUAUUAUUGUUUUCCUUGAGAAUUCAAAACUAUGCAAAUAUUGUCCUCGUUAAUUAAUUCUUCUACUCUUAUUGAAACCUGUUUAAUAAACUCAACUAAAUGUACAAAACAGGGAUGGAGUAGAAUUCUACAUUCAAUUCAAAUAAAUAUGAACCAGGGAUGUUCCCAUGUUGAACAUUUGACCUUUGAUAGCGCUUGCCCAAGGGAAGCGGCAAGGUACACAUUUCAUAGCAAUUUCUCUAAAUACGCUAUUAAAUGUCAUACAGUCUUUGAUAGUGAAAAUCUGAGAAGGCUUGCAAGCGCUAUUAAAAAUAUUUUUUGGCAUAAUACACAUUCAACCGAACAUAGAUCUCUACAUGAUAUUGAAAUUCUUUAUUAUAAAUUGGCAUGUUUGAAUCCAUCCUCUGAAGCAUGGGUACUCCAAACAUGGAGAAGUACUGAUAUCUGGUACGCGUAUGGUAUUCGUAACUUAGUACCAAACCGUACCUAUUUUUACUUAGUUGUUUCGUCGUUGUUGGUGCAGCAAAAACGUACGGACGGUUGAAAAAUAGCCAAAAUUAUUUUGCUUUUUUAUUGUAUUUUAAUUCUCUUGCUUUUGAUGAAAAUAUUAGAGGGGGUGCAUAAAAAAUGUAAAACUCUCAAGCAACAUGAUGAUAGAAGUGUAGUAAUUCACUUGAAUUAUUAUUAUUUUUUUUUUAUGUUUUAUACCAACGUAACCAUACCUUUAUUUUUUAAAAUUUGUCAUAUUACGUAUUGGAUACCCUACCCGUACCUAUGCAUCAUAGUAUAUCCAUCUUAUCAAUUGAACGAUACCAAAAGUUAAUUUACCCUUUUAAUAAUCAUAGUGACAAAAAGUUGCGAUUAUAUUUUCUAAUGAAUUAUUAUGAUUAAUAUUUGAUUUGCAUCGAGAGGAUCACAUAAAUUAUGUUUUAGAUUUGUGGAUCAAAUGAACUUUGCAUAUGUUCAAGAGAGCUAUGUGUAUGAGGUUUAAAUUUCAAACUCUACUACUAAUAAUUCCUGUCCUCAUGGAUUAAAUAAGUAAGGUUGAUCAAGAGAAUUUAUAGCCUAACAUACAUCAGGCACAUGUCAUACAAAUUUUUUGUAUAAAUUAAAUAGACAAGGUUAAUUAAUUAAGAUUUAUUUAGAAGCAUAUUUAACUAGAAAGGCGAGAUGAAAUUGAUGUUAUUCCAUACUAAUGCCUCGUUGCAUCACACGCUACGGGAAGGUAACCAGUGCGCAGAUUUUCUUGUCAAAUUAGGAGCCUCUUCGGACGUCACUCUUUCAGCUCACCCUCAUCCCCCUGAUGAUCUUCGCCCUUUGUUGAGGACAGAUGCCUUAGGAACUUUGUUCUUACGAAGAUAGUUUUUUCCCCUAGAGGGUUUAUCUCUUUCUUUUUUUCUGUUUUUUUAGCAUUGUAACCAAAAAAAAAAAAAAAAACUCUUAAGUCACUGAAAAAGUCUUUUAAACCUAUUCUAUAAAUAUUGUACUUUAUGUUAAAUCAAAAAUUUGCUAAUAUAGUUUGUAAUUAAUUAAGCAUCCUAGCUUUCAUCAAUUUUUAACAUAUUUAAGUGUCUUACUACAAAUUAACUUUAAAUAUGAUGUUACAUAAGUCAUGAUUAUCUAAAAAGUCAUGUUAUAGAUAUUAAAAUACAACUUAAUUUAAUUAAUUGGUCUAUUAGUUUGUGUCUAUUUUUGUAAGUAUGAAAUAAAUCUUUAAUUGCACUAAAAAUAAAAUUUAUGACAAGUAACGAGUUAAACUUAUAUCUUAAAUUCUUUUUUUAUCAUAAUAGAUUUCUUGAUUACCUUUGAAAAAUGGUGGUAAUUUACCUACCAACCAAUGAAAAUGAGCAAUUUGUUGGUGGGGUCAAGAUAGUUCAUGGAUGCCACUUAAAAAUGUGUUUAUGUGGCUAUUGUGUAUUGGAUGGGGUAAAUUACCCACCAUUCUUCUAUGGGUACCCUAGUUGUCACCCUUGAAAAAAUUGUAUAAUGGAGUCAAAGAUAUGUUUCGUGUGGAGACACAACUUGAGAUCUCAUAUUUUCGGAUUGACAAACAAAUUAACAACCAUCAUAGAAUUAAUAGUAAAGUCAAACAAAACAUAGCUUGUUAAAAAAUAUCAAAGUUUCUUUUUCGUUAAAUUCAAAGCUUAGGACAGGGCAGCAGAUUAAAUUUUAGACUAAUGAAUUGUGGGAUAUAUCACUAAUCAUUCACUAAAGCAAUAAAAAGUCCAAAGGUUUAGAUUUGAUCUAGCUAACUUAAAGUUUGAAUAAUGUAACAAAUUAUUAUGUCAUGCACGUGGUUAACACAUAUAUAGAUAUUAUUAACAAAUGAAGUUUAGCUGUCCAAGUUUAGGUAUAUGCAUGCAUAAAUAAUUUUUUAAUAGGUCGAUUAGCUGCCCUGUCUUCAUGCAAAAUUUCAUCCACAAGCUAACUCGGGGGAGACAAACAAAGAAGACCGACAAAAGUAGGUUUAAUUUCAUCUCGAAGAUCUCGAGCAUAAGAUUCUUGUUUCCUUGUAGGUAUAUAUCCCUCCGUUUUUAAAUAUAAACAAAAAUCAUUUUUUAGGUUCAUUCAUUUAAUAAUGUAUGUGGUUCAUAAUAUGAAAGUUCAUAAUAUGAACCACAUACAUCAUCAAAUGAAUGAACCUAAAAAGUAAUUUUUACUUAUAUUUAAAAAUGGAGGGAGUAAUAAAUUUUCUUUUUUUAGCAGCCUUCCAAAUAUAUAAGUUAUGCCCAAGGGUAUUUAUAGUAUUGUAAAUUAACAUUAUGCUUUAUUGAAGUUUUUUAAAACAAAAAUAAAUAAAUUUCCAGAAAACAUAUUAUUUAUUUCCGGAAACUUAAUUCAAUUGUUAAGGAUAUGAAUAUUGCAUAUUAUAUAUAAGGGUUGAGAUUCGAACUUCGGAUACCACAUUAUUUAAUAAAAAAAAAAAAACGCAUAUUCUUUUUUAUGUUAACCUUCUCUUGGUAUUCUAAUUUUCUUUGACCGAAGAUUCUUUGAGUUAGAAUUUAAAGUUGAGUUUUUUGAACGAUUUAUUGCUGUUAUUGAACUUAAAAGUUAGUCAAGUGAUUGGCAAAUAAUUCUUGAUUGUGAUUUUCUUUGAGCAUCAAACAUUUACAUUUUCCAUUUAUUAACAACUCCAUGUGUUAAGUAUGAAGUUGAGUAUUUUGUGAGCUAUUAUACUAAGAAUUGCAUAAGUAAAAAAGUAAAGUAGAAAAACAAACGACAAAUUUGCAAAAAAAAAAUAAAAAAUAUCUUGAGUUGAAUGAUAUUUAUAGAAAAAAACUAGUCAUGUUGGCCAGUACAUUUUAGCCUAAAAAAUCUAGCCUUGUUCGACUAUUUAUGCGGAUAAUACAUGAAUCUUCAUGUUGUUGUAUGUAUGUGGCACUCUAGGUCUAGCCUGUUUUCCCCAUCUUGCGUCGUUUUCUAUUUUUCCUUAUCAAUGCAUGCUACAUUGCUUCAAAAUGUGCCAUUGUGAACAUAGUUCCUUCAGUUAGCGACAUUAUAAACAUGGGGCACGAGCAAAACAUAGAAUUGACAAGUUCCACAUGUCUUUCAUUGCUUCUAACACUCCCACGACCUGCGUGAACCGUAUUGGACUUAAGAAAGAUUCUCCAAUCUCGAAUUCAUCUUUAUUAGAUUCGGUUAUCUUUCAUUCGACUAUAUUGGGGAUUCAUAUGACCCUUAAUUCAACUGUUUUCCAUUCUCAACUAGCCACUUAAUUAUUUUUAGGUGUAAACAAAUGUUCACAACCAAUUUCAGGCAUGUCCUACCGGUUUCUCUCCUAACUAAGGAUGCAUUUCGUUGAUGACCAUGGAUGCCGACUCCGUUUCAAAGAAUUUGACAUAAUGUUUUCGUGCCUUUUUAUGAACCUUUUGGAAUAACAGUUAUUCCAACUGCUUCAGGUGUCAUCUUAACCAUAUGUUCAUGUCCAAAAUGAUGGUUAGUAUGAUUUAACGUAUCAUUCGUUAUUGGUUUCAUGUAGGGUAAACUGUGACAAAAGUACUAAGAUAGGAAUUUAUGGGAAUGAAAGAUGUCUACUAUAUAGAAUUUUGUUAACCUGCUAAUGAUCCACCAUAAUCAUGACCUACGAAGGAUUUGAAGUUUAUAGUCAGUCUAUGUUUUUGAGAUUUCCUCUAGAAUGCAAGUGCAUGCGUCAAAUUUAAUCAUGACCUGGAAAAUAGUUUUUUUUUUUUUUUUUUGUGAUAUUGGUCAUAAUGUCCCACUAGACGUGUGAAAUAUUUAAUCAUGACCUAUCAAUUGUGAUUCCCUUUGCGCAUCAAACAAAUUACAUGGAGGAAAAAAUUGAUGUGCUUCAACUAUGGGUUCUUUAACUCCUAAAAAGUGAAGGAGAAAUGUUAAUGCUAAAUUUGCGAAAAAUAGUUUGGUUUUGAUUAUUUUUUUGUUAAAUAAAAUCUACGAAUGCGGUAUUUAUGGAAAAAAUUAGUUCAACUGGCCAAUACAUUGUAGCCUAAAGAGUCGAGACUUGUUCAACUAAUUUUGCAAGUAAUGGGUAAAUCUUCCAUUUGUUGGGUGUACAUGGCAUCCCACUUCUAGCAUGUUUCCCCCCAUCUCACAACAUUUCAUCGGUGAUGAUGGUUGUUUCUGUUAAUGGUGAUAUAAUUAUGGAACACUAUUGAAAAUGUUAAAUUGUCAAGUUUCAUGUACAUUUGACUACUUCUGAUACUCCCUAAGACCUACAUGAAGUUUAGUGGAUUUGAGAAAGAUUCGCCUAUCUCAUAUUCUUUGAAUUAAACUCCAACUCGUGACGCCGACAAACCCUUUAUUGAUAAUACUCAUUAACAACAUCAGAGUCAAUACAAACCUCCACAAGCUUAAAAUAUCUGUCAUAAACCAAUUGAACUAGGGACGAACCCACCCUUAUGGGUAGUGUGGGUUAUGGCCUACACUUAGUUUUAAAAAUCAUUUUUUUAGUAUUUAAUACACUAAAAAAAAAACAAAUUAUAUGACAAAGACAAAGACAUAUGCCUCCACUAUGUUUGGAUUUUUUUUUUAAAUAUUUGAGUUCUUUUGUUGAGAAAGUGCAAGAUAUUUGUCAUAAUAAUAGUCUUAAAAUUUAUCAAAAUUACGAAAAUACGCACUUUUUUUUUUUUUUUACAAAAACAAACUUAAAAGUAUCUUUUAUUGAUCACUUUGAUCUUUAGAUAUGACUUUUAUUAAUUAUUUAACUAUUUAGUACUCAAAUGUAUUUUUUGUUAGUAAGUUGGCUUAAAUAUGUAUUUGAUCUUUGCAAUUAAAGGUCGUUUAAAAAUUGGUCCCUGUAUUCGCUAAUCCUUGCAAACUAGUCUUGCAAUCAUUAAUCAUUUAAAAUUUAGUCCUUUGACCAACUUAAUCACUGCCACGUCACUAAUUUGAUGACGUGGCAAUCACUGUCAAACAUGAAAUUUCAAUUUUGCCCUUAAGAAGAGGACAAAAUAUUGAAGAAAGAAUUGGAAACUCAGGGGUAAAAUUGGAAUUUCGUGUGGCAUGGCAGUGAUUAAGUGGGGAGAGGGACGAAAUUUUAAAUGAUUAAACAAUGCAGAGGUAAAUUGCCAGGAUUAGCGAUUACAGGGACCAAUUUUUAAACGACCCCUAAUUGCAAGGAUCAAAUACAUAUUUAAGCCUAGUAAGUUUUAUUAAAUUCAAAUAUUGUAGUCACAACUCAUCAUUCAUUUAGAGAUUAAAACGAUUAUUUUUAAACUUUGUAGUAUCAUACAUGUGACAACAAUAGGAGUUAUAGCCCUUUGAGGAUUUUUGUACAACUUUUGUUUAUGUUGUGUCGUUGAUGGUGUUAGCUUUGUUUUGGUAUUUCUAUUUAUUGAUUUUGGAUAUAGCCCUUUGUUAGGAGGUGUUUUCUAUAAGUUUUUUUUUUUUUUUUUUAUUCACGGGUGUAUGAGUUUUUCAUUGGAUCUUCUCAUCUAUCCUUUAUAUGUUACUACUUUAAGACUCCUAACCUAGCACUCCCUGUACUGGUUAAGAUUCAUCGCGAUGUUAAUAAAUUCCAUUUUAGUUUUUUUUAAAAGAAAAAAAAUACAUGUGACAACAAUAGGAGUUAUAUAGCUCUAUAGUAAUACACCCGAUAAUUCAGCUGUAUAUGAACCUGUAGUUUAAAUUUGUUUAUUAGCUUAGUAAAAAAAUUAUUUUGCGAAAAUUUCUGUGAGUUUUCUAUGAUAACAUGCAGCGAUUGUUAACAUCGAUCUACGCAAUCUUUCACAUUUGAUUAUUUCUCUGUACUGUAUCAUUUCUGUUUUUUAUAAGUCAAUUUAAUUUAUUAAAAUUAUUUGAAAACUAUAACCUUGAGUGCAAGUGAGGAACUAUGCAAGUUGUCCCAAUAACAGAAAUCGAUCAUAGUCCAAUUAAAAUACCGCAAAAUUCAAAUUUGAUGUACUAAUAAUUGUGGCAUACUUUUAAAGACAUAAUUAAAUAUAAAAAUAAUAGAGUGGUGAUAUUUGAACAACUAUUUGAUACAACUUUUGUGACAACUUCUUUUUUCUCUCUUUUCAUUGGUUAAAAACAAUGGAGAGAGAAAAAUAAAGAGAGAGAAUAAGAGUAUAAUAUGAAUAUGAAAGAUAAAGUUGUCACAAAAUUGUAAAAAAGGAUUGUACAAAUAUCAUUUCUCAAACAAAAAAUAUCAGAGAUGUUGAAUUCCUCAUAGUUCGUGGGAUUUGCAAAACCUAACUAAUAUUCAAAUCUGUCAUUGGGUAAAACAAAAGAAGGAAAAUGAAACAUGAAUUAUAUAUGUCACAUAUUAUAUAUGUGGGGAAAAUGCUUUUGAGAAAGCAUAUGGUGAUGUGAGACUUUAACAAUUUAUAUAUAUCCCCUUUAGGGUUAGGGGUAAGGUAAACACCAAAAUCUUUGUUUUUAGUCUUAAAAAGGAUGAAAAAUUGAAAAAAACAGUGAUUUAAAGAACGACCUAAAGCAAGUCAAUGACCAAAAUAAAUACGUGUGAGGUACUCCAUAAACAAUGUACCGGAUUUCUUGUUUUUGCUUUUCUGACAUUGAUGUUCCACGUCAUAACGUGCAACAUUUAUUUAUUGAAAAGGAUCCACAACUUGUUGACAAAAGCAUGGUAGUAUGGGGACAGCAUUAGUUUUCUAACGCAACCUUAUCUGAAAUAAGAAAUGAUAUUUCUAAAUUGUUUGCUCAAAAACGGUGGUGGUGGUUUAUGAUCAAUUUUUAACUAAAAUUAUCAUUUUGAAAUAUUUUUUCUCUUUUAUUUAAAUAAGUGAUUUUUAUAUUUAUUUAAUUUUUCUUUUGAGAUUUUCUCAUCUUAGUACGAUAGUGUUUUGUUCGUGGUCUAUAUACAAUAUUGUUUGUUUUUUCGUUUUGUUAAGAUGUUUAUUUAAUUCAGAUUGUCAUAUCAACUUUGAUCAAGAACAUAUCCCUAUAAGACAAGGUGCAAAAAUGAAGGUCUUCUACACGAAGACGAUGAACAUGAUCUUUAAAAUGGGACGCGAGCCAUGAUGAACUUUGGGGUCUUCCACACUAGGACAAUUAUAGAGCUUAUAUGUAAAUCUUCUUUUAUUCAAGGUUAUAUAUGUAAAUCUCUUCGAUACAUUAUACAUUGAGUACAAUGUAAUAUUUUGAAUAUGUUAGUUUUUUUUUUGUCAAGAAUAUGGUAGUUUUAUAUGCAUGAUUAAUUAUUAUUAUUAGGUUUAAAUGCAGUUUUAUCUCCCCUCCCUUAUUUUGACUCAAACUGGAUUUUACCCCUCCUAUUUUAAAACUCGGAAUUUCACCCCCCCUUCCCCCCAGUUUAAUGUUUUUCAGAAUUGUGCCCCCCUAUUUUAAAAAUCGGAAUUUUACCCCUCCAGUUUAAUAUUUUUCAGAAUUUGGUUGAUGUGGCGGUGCUAACGUGGCUUAAAUAAUAUUAAAAAAACACUCACCUAUUUAAAUUAUUUAUAUUAAAUAUUCUGAAUUAAAAAAAAGAGAAAAAAUCAAUAAAUAAAAAAUGUAUUGCUUGUUCAAAAAAAAAAAUGUAACUUAAAAUAAUAAUAAUAAUAACAACUUUUCUUAUAUUUCCUUCAAAAAAUCAUUUUGCUUAUAUGCACACACCAAAAUCCAAAAUCCAAAAAAUACCAUAAAAUGCAUAAAAUAAUGAAAAAAAAAAGCAGGAAUUAUUAAACCAAAAAUUAUAAAACUAGAAGGAGAAAAAGCAGUAAAAAUACUAGAAAAUGGAGAUAAAAGGUAGGAAAAAAAAUCAGAAUAACAGAAAAAAAUCCCAUUAAAAAUACAUGAAAGGAAAUGUAAGCAAAUUGAUGUUUUGGAUUUUGGUGUGUGCGUAAAUCAGAAUAAACAACAACAAAAAUCCCAUUAAAAAUACAUGGAAAGAAAUACAAGCAAAAUGAUUUUUUGGUUUUUGGUGUGUGCAUAUAAGCAAAAUGAUUUUUUGAAGGAAAUAAAAGCAAAAUGGUUAUUAAUAUUAUUAUUAUUAUUAUUUUAAGUUACAUUUUUUAUUUAUUGAUUUUUUUUCUCUUUUUUUAAUUCAGAAUAUUUAAUACAAAUAAUUUAAAUAGGUGGAUGCUUUUUUUUUAAUAUUAUUUAAGCCACGUCAGCACCGCCAAAUUCUGAAAAAUAUUAAACCGGGGGGAAUUCCGAUUUUUAAAAUAGAGGGGGCAAAACUCCGUAAAACAUUAAACUGUGGGGGGGGUGAAAUUCCGAGUUUUAAAAUAGGAGGUAAAAUCCAGUUUGAGUCAAAAUAGGAGGGGCAAAACUGCACUUAAGCCUUAUUAUUAUUAUUAUUAUUAUCAUCAUCGUCACUGUUGUUGUUGUUGUUGUUAUAGUUUUAUAUUUUGCACCCCGGCCUAGGGUCAUAAAUACGUCACUGCCACCAACAGCAAUCUCGACCCGCUCUCUUUUUUCUCCCUCAACACCCUUCUUUCCAACCUCCUUCUUCCCACUCGUAACAUCCCCUCCGUCUCCAUCUCCUUAGAAUUCUCAAAGUAAUCAUACCUUGCAACCUUAGCAAAGACCCAAUAAUUACCAAAACAAACAUUAUUCAAUGUUUUAAAAAGUUUUCCAACAUCAAGUACAUUGUUGAAGCGAACAAAACCAUAUGCAUGACCAUUCACGUUACACUUAUUUGCCAAGUAAACAUCUUUCAAAAUUUCACAAACAUCAAAACUUUGCCGUAAACAAAAAUAGGGAAUUUUCUCCAGCACGUUUGUAAGAUAAAAAGAAAAAAAAACCUCUUGAAUUGUGACCCCACAUGAUCGGACCUAUUAUGUUGUAGAUGACGAAUAUCAAAAUUAGAACCAGCCCCUAACCAUGCUGAAACUUGAUGCGAGCCAUGUUGAGUGUAUCGCGACCUUGAAUGCACAAUACUUUGAUCCUGAAAAACCCUAGCCCUAACCUGUUAAAACCGAUGCACACCAAUACCUCCUUGCCGCGAUGUUGCCUGUUAUCUGUCCUGGCCAAUAUGACCCCAUCCAAACAUUUUUCGACGUCGCCGACUCACCUCUGUUCAUUUCCCUCAAUCCCCCCGAAGAACCUUAGUGUCGGCGAUAUGAAAUGUCGACGCGAUUGCCCUCGGCGAAUCCUAGGGUAAUCGCCCCUCUCAACAUUUUUCAUAUUUGCUAAUAGAGAAGAGUUAUUUGAACAACCAUUUGCUUGAUAACUUAUGUAACAACCAUAAUUUACAAAGAAAAAAAUAGGUAUUUGCACAAAAACCAAAAUAAUAAAAAGAUAAAAUAAAAAUUAAUGUGAAUAUAAAAGAGAAAAUUGACACAAAAGUUAUCACAAAAUAAAUGUUCAAAUAUCAUUUCCCUUCCUAAUAACUCCAAAUGCUAAAUAUGGUCUGAAGCCAACAAAUAUGGUGGCAUCUAAUGAAAUGACAUCACAAGUUGACAACCAAUAAAAUACUUGGGUACAUAUGACUCUUGCAUGCUUUUUAUUUUAUGCGAUUUCCCUGUUUCCUUUUGAUAGGUUCUGGGCAAUUUCCUGAGCUAGUACAUUGGUGGAGAAAUAAAACAAAUAUGGUAUGGUACAAUUGGAGAAAUAAAUUUUAUAUGGACCUCCCAAAAUAAUUUUGUCAUCGUUAUCGAAGACAUAAAUAUUGGUCCCCAUCGCUCACGUGUUAUUUGUUUGACUCUUGAUAAUCACGGGUUAAUCAUUAAUUCAUUCAUACACUUUUUUUUUUACAGAAUACAUUCAUAACUUUUUUUUAGGGGUAAAAUUCAUUCAUAAACAUUGUACCAAAAAAAAAAAAUAUAUCAUUCAUUCAUAAACAUAAUAGUUUCUGAUAUUAUUCUCUCAAAAAAAGUUUCUGAUAUUAUUGUUGUUCAGCCGAGGGGUUUGGUGGCGGUGCCAAUAAGUAUGAUUGUACUGCUGGGUGUGCUGAUCUUAUUAGGGAUCAGAAGAUGAGUGAUUAGGGGAUUCUUUGGAUUUUUGGAGAAAUACAUUCGAUAAUUUAAUUGUGACACAUAAAUCAAUUAAAAUAUUUUUUUCUCUCUCUUUUGCAUGUUUUUAUGCUUAAAAAAAAUUGUAUUGUCACAUAUCAUAUUUGAAUUUGCCAAUAUCAUAUAUAUUAUGUUACACAACACAAAUGCAAUCCACCUGUGACUCUGUGAGGGAGUAGUAUAGAAGGUCUUUGUUGGUAUGCAAAGUGGUUGGGUUUUAAUCUAGCAAAUUAUAUGUGGAUUCUUAGGUUGUGGUGAAUAGUAGUAUUAUUAUUAUUAUGAAGGGGCAGCAGUAGAAUGUGAUUGUAAUGUGUCUUGUUCAAAGGAUUUGACAACUCUUACUGGAUGGAGUGAAAGGUGAAGGAUCAACAUUUAUAUCUUGAGGACAUGUGUGUUGAUCUUUAACUAAUACUACUCGUCUUUGUAUACAAGUUUUCUACGUCAUUUUUACAUUUAUUAAGAAAAGUUGUUAAUGUAAUUUUUAUGUUUAUUUUAUGUGUUAAUAUUAUUAAGUUAUUUUUGGUUUAUAUGUAUAUUAAAUUUGAUUUUUUUUUUUCAUAUUUUAAGAGAAGUUAGUAGUAUUUUUUUGAAAAAAAGACACGUCAGUGGUAUUAAUUAGUUAUAUGUUUAAAAAAAAAAAAAAUCAUCUAAUAAUUUGUAUAAACAAUUAUAUUUAGGGACAAUACAUUUUAUCAAAAUCCUUAUAAUUAUGGACGGAGUAAAUAUUAGGUAAAAUGAGAUAUGAGAUGAUGUUUUAUGAAUCUUGUCCGACACAAAUUAGUCAUUUGUUUGCUGCUGAUCAAUCAAGAUUUUCUUUACCACGUUGGGUUAAGAUAUAAUUUCUUCAUGUUAGUAAAAAAAAACAUUAAUUUCCGUGAGCUUAGUUUAGUUGGUAAGUAAAGACAAUGCAUAAUAUAUGCAAGGUCUGUUCGAUCUCUGAACACCACAAAAUAAGAGUAAAAAAGGAUUAAUAUUUUUUAGAAAUUUAAAUUUUUUUUUUAUUAAUUUAUAGAGCUUUGUUUGUACCAAUUAUUUGUGUGCACAUAUAUAUAGGAGAGAUAUUGACUCCAAGAAUAAGUUUAUAGAUUUACUCUAAAUCUCCACCUUUCAUCUCAUUUUAAUCUAAUGGUUUAAAUGUUAAUUUUUGAAGGAGAAGUGAUUUUCUUCUUCUUCCCGGUUCAAAAGCAUAUCAAAUUAUGAUUUUUUUUCGAAGGCAAACUCAAUUAUGACAAAAAUAUCUUCAAAUAUGUCAAAAAAUUGAAAUUUACUACUUUACAUAAAGUGAUCAUAUUUUAAUUUCUCAAUGACAUGUAUGGAAAAACAACAAAUUUAACCUUAAACUACUAAAAGAAAGGAGCUUACUAUUCUCCAAAAGUUGAGGAUGAAAGUUUUGUUUACCACGAGAAAUCAUGUCAUUUUUUUCCUUUCAAAUCACCCAAGAACUAGCAAAUCAACUCAAUAACAUGAAAGAGCUCAUUGAUUUUGCAUAACCUGAAGAGCCACCAAAUUAUAAAAAUGAUCCGCAAUAAUAGAUGAAUUCGCUGAAUGAACUCCUAGCUAGCCAAUUGCAAACAAGUUGCCAAAUUGUACUAAAAAACUACAAUCCAAAAAUAAACGAUUCUAUGUUUCCAACAAUCCACAGCCACACAACUGAGACUCAUGUGAUACAAUUCCUCUUCAGAAUAAAUUCACCUUAGUUGAUAAUCUAUUCAGAAGAAAUCGUCAAGCAAACACCGACACCUUCAACGGGACAUCCCGCCGCCACAAGAGAUCCGAGGAAAUGAAGUCAUCAGUGGGAAUCCUAUUAGUGAGAAUGUGAUAUGCACCACAGACAUAAUACCCAUCAGUUGGAUCAAGGACCCAAGAAUAUCCAGAUUUUUGGCGAGAGAUUAAAACGGAUGGGAUUAAUACAAUGGUGCAAUGUGAAUGGAAGAAGUCUUCUUUAAUAGAUUCGACAACUUUUACAAACGGGAAUGAGAAGUGAAGGUUGGACAUUUGUGUUGUGAAUACUCCAUAAAACAUAAACAUUUGCAUUGAAUAUAACAUGGGUAUUGAUGCUUUAGCUAAUAUUAAGGGUAUAACGGAGUAAGAGAUAAUUUUUAAGUCUUAUCCGAUUUAAAUUAGUCAUUUGUUAGUUGCCGAUCAAGGAAGUGUUUCUUUUCAUGUGUUUGGUUAAAAUUAAUUUCUCUUCUCUUGGGCUACUGCCCUCGUGUGAGUAAAGAAACGUGAAUAUUUUUUCUUCUUCUUCCCGGUUCAAAAUCAUACCAAUUUAUGAUUACUUUGAAGGCAGAGUCAAUUAUGACACAAUCUUCAAACAUGUAAAAAAAUUGUAAUUUACAUCUUUACAUUCAAGACGUGGAAAAAAUAAAAAAGUGGCCAUAUUUUAAUUAUUCAAUGACGUAUAAAUUCUAAUACAUACCUGCUCACGAUAUGACAGCGAUUUGUACAUUUUUUUUCUCUAUAGUUAGAUCAUCAUGAUUGAAAAAUUGAAUAUUAUUGAUUUGAACCACUAAAGCACAAAAUGAAAUGCAGCAUGCACAUGCCAUUUCUUUCUAUAAAUAAAUAGAUCGCAUAUGUGGUAACCACACUUAAGUCUAAGCUCAAAACAAGAGAAAAAUAAUGAACUCUUUCAAUCUCUCUUUGGCAGCUUUGUGCUGUGUAGUAGUUGUGCUUGGAGGGUUACCCUUCUCAUCAAAUGCACAACUUGAUAAUUCCUUCUAUAGGGACACUUGUCCUAAUGUUCAUUCCAUUGUUCGUGAAGUACUAAGAAAUGUUUCUAAGACAGAUCCUCGUAUACUUGCUAGUUUGAUAAGGCUUCACUUCCAUGAUUGCUUUGUUCAAGUAAGUAUUAUUCAUCAUUUUUAAAACUCGGUAUCUGAUCAAGGACCGACUGAUCCGUAAAACAUUUUUGGUAUUUGUAGCUCAUAUAUUUUAUAUCUAUGUUUAUGAAAGGGUUGUGAUGCAUCAAUCUUGUUGAAUACCACUUCUACGAUCACAAGUGAGCAAACAGCUUUUGGAAAUAACAACUCAAUAAGAGGUUUAGAUGUUGUGAAUCAAAUCAAAACAGCAGUGGAAAAUGCUUGUCCUAACACUGUUUCUUGUGCUGAUAUUCUUGCUCUUGCUGCUGAAAUUUCCUCUGUUCUGGUAUGUUCCAUAUCUUCUUUGUUCCAUUUCCAUUUUUUCUAGUUCUAGUUUGCAAAAACAACAACACUGUAAUAAAAAAGCAGUCAAAGAUGAGUUGAGAAUCCUUGCCAUAAAAAAAAGUUAUGUUGGAAGAACUAUUUUCUUCUUUGUUUUUAACAUGAAAGUGACAUAAAAAAAGGAAAAAAAAAAGUAUUAAAGUGUCAUACUACAAACACAAAAUUAUUUGUCGGUUUUUCCUCACGGAAAAUUAUUUGUACAAUUUAAUUGUUAUUCUUUCGAUCUCAUAAUGAGUUUCUUAGAUUUUUUAUUGUUUAUUUUCAAACACCUAGGAACAAACUUCUUAAUCCAUUUCAUAAUGAGAUGUUUUAAAAAAAAUAAAAAAUUGUUUUAAAAUAAUACCACUUUACAUUUUUGAUAUAAUUUUUUUUCCAACUUUACCAUUAAUAAAUACUUCAAUUUUUCUCUUUCUCACUAUUUCCAAUGUAACUUUAAGUUUGUCUUUUUCGCAUAAAGUUAGGAUAAUUUAGUAAAAGUGUUAUGUCUAUUGAUUAUUUUAUUCAAUUUCUUAAUUUGUGCGUCAAAACCUUAAAUGACACUCGUUGUAAAACUGAGUGAGUAUAUAAAAGAAAAUGAAUAAAAUUAUACUAAAUUAUGUUAGUAAGCAUUGGUGCAAAUUUUUUCUUACAAGGUUGACAUUUUUUUUUUCAUUAAAUAUUUUCUUUGUGAAGAAUUUUUAACAUGUGUCUUAAGGGCACAUGGACUUAACAUGACCCUUAUCAUAAAUGCAAAUAAAAAAUAAUACUAAUAAUUUAUAAGCAAUACAUAAUUAGAGGGUAUAAUUAAAAAAUAAUAAUAAUUUAAUUUACAAUAAGAAUUAAAAAUAACAUUCAUUUUAGGUUAGUUGUUUACAAAUGUAAACUUUAUUUUAUCUUUCCUUUCUUUUACUCUUUAUUUAGCUCAAUCCUCAUUUAUUCUAGUAACAUAAUUUGCAGGCUAAUGGUCCUGAUUGGAAAGUGCCAUUAGGAAGAAGAGAUAGUUUAACAGCAAAUCUAACCCUUGCUAAUAUAAAUCUUCCAAGUCCAGCUUUCAACCUUACUCAACUGAAAUCUAACUUUGAUAAUCAAGGUCUCGACGCUACAGAUCUAGUUGCACUUUCAGGUAUAGAAAUGUUUCCUAAAUUAGAGAAAUUAUUAUUAAUACACCAUUUUACAAAUGAGAUUUGAACUCGGUUCGUUAAGGGUGAUAUACCUCAUGAUGUAUGUAUAUGUGUGUAUCUAAUUGUAUAUAUGUUUUGGUAAAUUUUUAGGUGCUCAUACAAUCGGUAGAGGUCAAUGCAGAUUCUUCGUUGAUCGAUUAUACAAUUUCAGCAAUACUGGAAAUCCCGAUCCAACUCUCAACACAACCUACUUACAAACAUUGAGAACUAUAUGUCCCAAUGGUGGACCUGGUAGCACCCUAACCGAUCUGGACCCAGCCACUCCAGAUACAUUCGACUCGGCCUACUACUCAAACCUAAGGAUUCAAAAAGGCUUGUUUCAGAGUGACCAAGUAUUGUCUUCCACAAGUGGCGCGGACACGAUUGCCAUUGUCAACAGUUUCAACAACAACCAAACUCUUUUCUUUGAAGCUUUUAAGGCCUCGAUGAUUAAAAUGAGUAGAAUUAAAGUGUUAACUGGAUCUCAAGGUGAAAUUAGAAAACAAUGUAACUUUGUUAAUGGAAAUUCUGGCCUUGCCACAAAAGUCACAAGAGAGUCGUCAGAGGAUGGUAUUGUUAGCUCAUACUAAGUAAUUUAAUACAAGUUGCAUAAGAAAGGUACCUAAUAAAGAGUGUGUUCUAGAGGCACAUACAUGUUGUGCUCUUGUGGUGGAUGGCGAUAGGUUUCUACUUUGUAAACUAUGGCCAUUGAUGUAGUGUUUGUAUUAACUAUUUUCCUCUAUUAUGAUAAUUAUGUUUCUUAUAUUAUUGAUAAUGAUGAUGAGAUAUGGUAGGGAUAUUGAAGUAUUUAGGCUUAAAUGCAAUUUUAGUUUCGUAAGUUACUUUAUCAAUUGUGCCAUUUUAUCUCGCCAAAUUUUAAUUUUGCAAAUUUAACCCUUAAGUUUAUCUCAUUUAUGAUUUACUAACCCAAGAACUCAUUGCUCACAUUCCUUGACAAGAUUCUCACUGCUACCCUCAAUCAUUGUAUUUAAUAUGAAUAUUUUAUCUUUUUCAAUAAAAUUCUACACACAAUUUUACAGAUUACUAAUGAUUUACUUUAAAAAUAAAAAGAUGACUAAUGAUUUUCUUAUGAAAUAUCUUUUACGGGAGCGGUGUUUGGAGCACUUUCUCUCCUGAGUGAGAAAGAAUCCCUCCAACCAAAUCCUAGGCUUCAAAUGGGGGUUUUUAAAAUAUAAAAAGAAAAGAGAGAAGAAUCGUAAUGGUUGUGAUUAUAAUUUGAGAAAAGACAAGUGAAGUACAAUUGAGACGAUCCAUUUCCGUCUUUAUUUUUAUUUAUUUUUAAAGACAACUGUCGUGAUUAUUUUAUUUUUUUUAAUCCAUUCCCCUCGGGUAACUAUUGUAAAAAAAAAAAAAAAAAAAUAAUAAUAAAAAAAAAUAAAUUAAUAAAAAGAAAGCUCAACCAAAGAUUAUGCAAGUCGUUUACCACAAAAUAUACAAAUUGGCGCCACAUUGUUUGCAAUAUCAUGCAAACAUUCAUGAUAUUAAACAUCAUGUAAUAAAUAAUUUUUAACGGUAAAUGUGACUUUAUUUAAAAACAAUGACAAAUUUUUUUGAUAUAAAACAUUUGAAUAGUCAUUGUUUGAAGAAGGACUUUAGAGGAACUAAAAACGAAAUAUGAUAUAUUUAUAUAAGCGAAAAACUUAUUUAACUCUAUUAAAAAUAAGAAAUGUAUAUAGUCAAUUUAUGGUCCCGUGUUUGUUAAAAAACACUCAAAAGGUUAUUUUUUAAAUUUGUUUUGAAAUUGCAUUUUAAUAUCUCUUUUCAAUUGUAAGGUUAUCUUUUCAAUGUUAACCUUUUUUUUUUUAAGAAAAUCCAAAACAAAUAUUUAAACGAAAUUUCAACAGUCACACAAAGGUAGUUAGAUGUAUUUUAAUUUAAUCAUCAAAAAAAAAUUAAUUUCCCUAAAAAAAAAAAUAUUUAUUCUUAGUUUUCCUUUAAAAAACUUAAAUAAUAUUUAACUAAUUUUUUGAACAAAAACGGAACUGAACCAUGACUUAACCAUAGUCACUCUCAUAAAAUACAGCAUUGAAUAUGAGCCAGUGAUACGAAUGGGGGAGAGAGAUGACAAUUUGCUAGGCAGGAGAAGUAUAUAGGUUUAGGUAAGUAAAGAACUUAAAAACCAGGUUCUAGAUACUCUUUAUUAUAUUCCAAAAGAACUUAAAAAAAAUAUUAUAUUCCAAAAAAAGUUAUUCAAAAGUUGACAUGAACUGCAUAUCGAACAUUUCAACGUAUAAUUAGAUCCUAACGUCUCUUAUAAAGGUAUGCAAAGAAAAAGGAAAAGGAGAAAGAACCUGCAGAUAAGCAAGACCAAAAAAACUAAGGCUAACACGUUUCUUUAUAAGAAAAAAUCAUUGACAUAGAGUAUAUAUAAGGUUUAUGUAAAUAAUUAGAUUAAUUUGUGGAAAAAAUCCAAAAUUUAUAAUUCUUCAUAGGCAAAUGAAAUAUCGAACCCUGUAAUUUGUUUAGGAGAUUUAAAUCUCUUGUCAUUUCGACUAAUUCAUUGUUGUCCAUUUAUUUAGUAUAAGGAAUAGUUAUUUUCUAUUUUUAUUCUAUGAGAAUUGAUAUUUCUACAAUCAUUUUUAAACAACUUUUGGAACAAUCAUUUUUUUUUUUCUGACCAAAACAAUAGAAAAGGUGAGAAUACAUUGUGCAUUGUUAUUACCCAUGGUUGUACUACAAUAACUUCAUAUCAAUUCUAAAAUCAAUAAUCACAAUUCUUUUACUUGUUACUCUCACUGUGAGAUCUUGGCAUACUUUUUCCCGUCAUGAAAUUGAAAAUAAUACACAUAUAGAAUAGGUAUAUUCAAGGACACAAACGUGAACAAAAUGAGUCCUUAUUAGUUUAACGAAUUUAUAUAUCAUGUCUAUGAAAUAGUAUACGUAAUAUAGCCUAGGCACCGGCCUUAAACCAUACACGUACGGUGAUCACCAAAUCUAAGAAAAUCUAAGAGACCCAAAAUUCUAAAUCAUUGAAUAUAACCACAGACAUUUUGAAUGUGAAUCAUAACAAUAUAUGAGGUUGUACAAUGUACAUAUGAAGUUGGUAAUGACUAAUGAGUGUAUGACUAAGUUUUUAAUUGAAAAGUAAACACUGCCUAAUUUUUAUUUUUAUUUUUUAUAGCAGCAGCCCUAGCUUUUUAUCGUGUUCUUUAUUCUUGUUCUUGAAUAAAAGAGGUAAUAGUUAAGGAUAAAUUAAAGGGAAAUUCUUUAGCAUCCAGUUGGUAUGGACAAUGCAUAAUAUAUGCAAGAUCUGGGGUUCAAACUCCGGCCACCACAAAAAGAAUUUAUAUUACCUAUCUUAAUUAAUAGUUUUCGUUAAAUUUAAGGCUAAACUUCACUUUUCGCCCUCUAAGUUUCAAAAUGUUGCGAUUUUGGCCCCCUAUUAAAAAAAAUGGCAAAAGUGACCCCCUAUGUUUAGGGAAAUAUGCUCUUUUGACCUCCUAACAUAAGGGAAAUAUGCUUUUUGACCCCUUAUCUUUACAAAAAGUUGUGAUUAUGGCCCCUUUUUUGGGACACGUGGCGUCUUCUCAGCAAUUUUGGGAUGAAAGGGAUCAAAAUUGCCAUUUUUUUUAAUAGGGGGUCAAAAUCGCAACAUUUUGAAACAUAGGAGGCCAAAAGUGCACUUUAGCCUAAAUUUAACUAACGGUCCUCACUAUUCUAAAAAAAAAAAAAUCUUUUUUCAAUGAUUUUCUAUAUAUGUUAUAUAUUUUCUAUCAAGACUUCAAUAAACAUACAUCGAUAUAUAGUAGAAAAAGUUACAUAUAUAUAAUAGUAUUAAAGUAUGAUGAACUACAACUCAAAAACAAAAUCAAAGUGCAAAAGCACAUGGUGGAGAUUUACAUCCCAAGUAUAUAUGAUCAAAUAUAAUUAAAUAUGUGUUAAUUUAAAAAAAAAAAAAAAAAGAAAUUAAAGCACAAACAUUAUAGUCUUCCUUUAACUACAAACUAAUCCUUUUUUUAGCAACUACUCCUUUUCCUUUUUGGUUCUAGACUCUAGUAAGUAACUACUCUUUCAUAUUGCUUUAAUAAAGGUGGUAAAUAUUAUUAAAGCAUAGGAAGAAAAUUCCACGUUCUUUAAAUAAGAUUCCAACCACCAACAACAGGUACGAACCAUAAUAAAAAUAGAAAGGACAUUGCAUUGGUCGUUUGACCCAAACUAGAUAAAAGCAUCACGUUGUUGCUCAUAAUAUCAAACAUUAAUUGUCUCAAAGUGGAAAAGAAAAAAAAUGAAUCCACUUGGUCUAAGUGCAACAGCUUUUUGUUGUGUCGUUUUUGUGUUUAUUGGAGGAGUACCCUUUUCAAAUGCACAACUAGAUCCUUCAUUUUACAAUAGUACAUGUUCUAAUGUUGAUUCAAUCGUACGUGGUGUGCUCACAAAUGUUUCACAAUCUGAUCCCAGAAUGCUUGGUAGUCUCAUUAGGCUACAUUUUCAUGACUGUUUUGUUCAAGUAUGUGUGUUCUGAUCCAUCUCUUACCUUCACAUUUUCACUUUUGUGGACGGUGAACAUGAUUUCGUCAAAUUCGUUGUGAUUUCAAUCAAACAUACACACAUAAUGAGUUCAAAUGUAUAUAUGCUAAUAGUUGUGAACAUUGUUGCAGGGUUGCGAUGCAUCGAUUUUGCUGAACGAUACGGCUACGAUAGUGAGCGAGCAAAGUGCACCACCAAAUAACAACUCCAUAAGAGGUUUGGACGUGAUAAACCAGAUCAAAACAGCGGUGGAAAAUGCUUGUCCUAACACUGUUUCUUGUGCUGAUAUUCUUGCCCUUUCUGCUGAAAUAUCUUCUGAUCUGGUAUAUAUUUCCUAGCUAGUUUCCUAGUCAUACAUUUAAAUUAACUUCUAGCUAGAUAGUAUGUUGUUUAAUUUCAAAACUUCCAUGUUCGUAGAAAAUAAAAAUGAAAAUCUUCACAUUAUGGAAAACGAAUGCAAUAAAUAAAAUGUAUCCAAAGAUCUCAUAAACGAUCAAUAAAUCAGUUUUGACAAAGUAGUUAAUAGUCAAAACUAUUAACACCCCUACAUUUUUUCUAAUAUACAUAUACUUUUAAUAAUUUAUUUCUGGACGGAAAAAAUUGCCAAAUUUUCUUAUUUUCAAACGGUAAAAUGUAUUUAGAAAAAUACGCAUUCAAAAUAAACUUACAAAACUAUAUUGAUGGUGUGUUAGCAAAAAACAGAUGUCAAUAGGUAAAUAAAUAGGUUAUGUUAUAUGAACAACUGUUUUUGGAACAACUUAUAAAACAAUCAAGGUAUACAAAGAAACGUGGAUAUUAUAUUAGUACGAAAAUCAAAGUAAAUAGAGUAAGGACACGAUGAGAGUAUAAAAAAGAGAAUUGUUCUAAACCAUUUCUGGGACAACUAAUAAGAGGAUAAUAAUAGAAAUGUAAGCAUCGACACUAUAACCAAAUCAAUAAAGAGAAUAAGAAUACAAUAAAAAUAUGAAAAAAGGAGUUAUCCCUAAAUAGUUAUUCAAAUAUAAUUUCUCAAUUAUAUAUAUAAUUGGUGGGAUUUCACAAGCUUGUAAGCCCCAAUUCGGGUAAGGCAAGGCUAUCAAAUGGUGUGGUCCAGCAGUAGCAUAGACUUUUAUAUUGUGUCUGGUUAUGUAUAUUUUGGUUUGUAGAGAUCUGAUGGUUUUAAUUUUACAUGAUCAUAUCUUAUGCUAUAAAGUUGUACUUUCGUUAUCAUGUUGUUUUAUGAUGUUUUUUUAUAUACAUUGGUAAAGAAAUACUAACCGUAAAAUAAAUAGUUAAAAUAGUUUUGUACAUAAUGAAUUAGUUAUUUGCCUAAAAUUUUGACUAGUUUAAAUAAUUCAAACAAAUCAUAAUCAAAGAUAUGUGACAAUGUACGUUCUUCAUAGAAUUUCAAUUUUAUUAAUUAACAUCAUAAACCAUGAUAUAUAUUUUCUUUAUUAUCCUACAAUGCAACAAAAAUUGCAGGCAAAUGGUCCUACUUGGCAAGUUCCAUUAGGAAGAAGGGAUAGUUUAACAGCAAAUAAUUCCCUUGCAGCUCAAAAUCUUCCUGCCCCCACUUUCAACCUUACUCAACUAAAAUCUAGCUUUGAUAAUCAAAACCUCACUACUACUGAUCUAGUUGCACUCUCAGGUAUAAUUUUUUUGUUUCUUCAAAAUAUGUAACAUGAAUGUAUGUACAUAUAGUCUAAAAAUGACUCAUAUUAAGAAUCCCCCCAUUUAAUUUUUUAGGUGGUCAUACAAUUGGAAGAGGUCAAUGCAGAUUUUUCGUUGAUCGAUUAUACAAUUUCAGCAACACUGGAAAUCCCGAUUCAACCCUUAACACAACUUACUUGCAAACAUUGCAAGCAAUAUGUCCCAAUGGUGGACCUGGUACGAACCUAACCGAUUUGGACCCAACGACACCUGAUACAUUUGACUCCAACUACUACUCCAAUCUCCAAGUUGGAAAUGGCUUGUUUCAAAGUGACCAAGAGCUUUUUUCCACAAAUGGUUCUGACACUAUUUCUAUUGUCAAUAGUUUCGCCAAUAAUCAAACUCUCUUCUUUGAAAAUUUUGUUGCUUCAAUGAUAAAAAUGGGUAAUAUUGGAGUUUUAACUGGAUCUCAAGGUGAAAUUAGAACACAAUGUAAUGCUGUGAAUGGGAAUUCUUCUGGAUUGGCUUCUGUAGUCACCAAAGAAUCAUCAGAAGAUGGAAUGGCUAGCUCAUUCUAAACAUACGCUUGGAAAAUAUCGAAGAGGUUCAAUAUUUUCUGCAUACAUAUAUGAUGUGUGUAUGUGGUGGAUCACGAUAAUUAAUCUCUGCUUGUAUGCUCUUUCUAGUUCUAUACUAUGUUUUUGUUUUGUUCUUCAAGUUGAUUGGGGACCGUAGAAGCUCCCUAAUAAUAUUUGUGUCAAAAGUUUUUUAAUGUGUUAUGUCAUAAUGUUAUUUUCUAAAAUACUUAUUCAAGUAUUUAUAUGUUAAAUAUGAUUGAAUGUCUGCAUGAAAUUCUUUUAUAUUGUCAAGAAUGGAGCGAGAAACUUGUUUAAAAAAGAAAUAGCAAAACAUAUAGAACACCCAUACUCAUAGCAAAUCUUCAAAUUAAAUAGGCUUGGUCAGAUUAUUUUUGCAAGCUUAUUCUUGAGAAGUGUAGAAAUGUCAAGAAUGUUGACGACGCCAUAAUUGAAUAUAUAAAGGUUCCUUUUAAUGUAACCAACGUCUGAAAAGAAGGGAUCGAACAAACAGCAUAGAGCUUUUAAUUUUGAUAUCGAAAUAAGGCGCCCAAAUAUUUUGCAAGUUAUUAGAUAUUUCGACAUGGCUCUGGCUUGAACAAGUAGCUAAUUGUGGUGAGCACAGAAUUGAAUGGCACUAUAAAUGAAUGAAGAGGAUCAUCUCUUAAGCGUGAUCUUGCAUGCCUUUGUUUACUUGAUCACAAAGAAAGUGGAACUUGGUCUCUCCAUAUGCCUUGGCAUGCUACAUUGCAAGCUGAAAUGUAUUCAGCUUCAAUAGUAGACAAGGAAACAAUAAUUUGUUUCUUUAGCUCCAUGAAAUUGGAGAGUUGAAGAUUUAUAACACAUAUCCCAUUGAGCUCCUUCUUUGCACCCUAUCGCCACACCAGUCUGAGUCACAAAAACCGAUUAAUUUGAUAGUUCUUCCAAUUUCAUUCAAAUUUUAUAUAGACAACUUAAGCUAUAUUUGCCUAGUAGCUUUUAUUUAGCAUUAUGUUAGUUUCACAAUGCAACAAAAUUGAAGGCAAAUGGUUUUACUUGGGAAGAAGGCUUCAAAGUUCAACCUCGCCCGACAAAAAUCUACCUUUGUUACCCAAGGCCUCAAUGCUUGAUUUAGUAGCACUGUCUCAUGUAUUUGAUAAUUUCUUUUUCACCUUAAUCACUUCUCGCGCGUUCUCUAACAUUUCAAAAAUAUCUUGAGUUUUGGAUUAAAUAAUUCCAAAGGAGGAUUCUCCUAUAUUUUUGGUGGAAAAAUGUUUUUUUCACCAAUUUGAAUUCUAAAAUAAAAAUAAAAAUAAUUUAAAUUUUAUAAUUCGAACACCUUUAUACACCCAACUUCGAAGCAUAUAGAGGGCACGUUCGGAUUAUUAAAUCUGAAAGUGUUUGUUUUUUCAAAUUAUAAAAUCCAAACAUCCCGUCCCCUAUACACCCUCCCUCAUGUGCCAAAAAUUAUGGGAAAAACAAAUUGGGAAUAUAUAAUUGGAAUUAUAUCGGCACAAAUAUCGAAUUUGUUUUGUGACAAGGAUAACCAGUUUAGUAAACACAUUAACCAUUAUAACUGCUCCAGUGUGUUUCUUGUGUGUUCAUAUCUUGAAAGUGCAUAUGUCUAGUUGAAGCAAUAAAAAAAUGUCUGUUUUCGGGCGAUUGGUUUGGUUUCAUUCAAAAUCCAGGAACGAAACUACUAUAGACUCUGCGCCCUCAAAAUUCAAAAUUCUACCGUAUAGACCCAUUUUCCAUUUUUUUUAUAUUCUCAGAAAAAUCCAAAAAAAAAAAAAAUCAUUAGCUUUGUAUGAUUUUUAGAAUUUUUUAGUGGUAUUUUAUAUAUUUUUUUAUAUUAUUUGAUAGGUUUGCUAAUUUUUCACUCUUUUUUUUUUGUUUUUAGGACAAAAGUCGCAGCUACUGAAAUGAGAGGAAGUUAUGGUCGUUGCUAAUACAUAUAGGUAUGUUUUGGGUUAUAUAAUUCAAACCGUAUUAUUUGUUCGGAUUAUAUAAUUCAAAUGGGGCAAAAUGAUAAUUUUAGAGAGCGCAUGAGAAGUUGGUAGGUGGAAAAAGAAAUUCCCUAAAAAAAAUUGUUUGGGAAAUGUUAUGGUUCUAUAAUUUCGUGCAUACAUAUAUUCUAUAUGCAUGUGUUUUUUUAUACAAUUUGAAAAUGGUGGAUAAGGAUAAAUGACCUCUGUUUAUAUUAUAUACAUAGAUCUAUAUUUUUAUUAUUUUUAAGUAAUAAUCUCCUUUACUUUUUAGAAAAUAUUUGGUGACGCCUCUUAAAGUGUAUAUAUUUUGAGAGAGAUGUGGUAGAUUAAUGAUGUGAUAAAAAAAAAAGAGAUAAAAAGGUUAACCAUAGGUGGACCAUCGACUCGACGAAUUGGCACCACGAAAAACGACAUAUUGUGAUCUUAUCUUAUAAGAAAAAACAUGUUAAAAUGUGUAAUUGUGAUUGCAAAAAGUAAAUUAAAAUUUUGAAGAUAUUUUUUUUAAAAAAAAACAUAUUGUUUUAUCUUUGUAAAAAAAACAAAUUGUCAAACUUUUGCAAGAGAUAUGUAGAAAUAAAAAAUUGUGACGGAAAAUAUUUGUAAAAUCAAAACUUCUUGAAUUUUUUUAGAAAGAUUAAAAAACAAAUUUAGAAUAUUUAUAAGGACAAUAACUUAUUUAAUUAACGAUGGUUAAAACUUAUCCAUUUGAUUUGAUUUGAUUAUAGCCGUGUGGUUCAAGAGGAGACAUGACAGAAUUAGAAAAUUCCUGCAAUUUUCUAAGACUUUUGAUUAAAAUCUAAUUUUAUAUUUAGUCUUCUCUAAAACUAUAAUGUGUCUUUCAUUCUUUUUAGGGAUGUCUCUUUCAUCUAUAUAGUUUGUAACUAUUUGGAUUUUGUUUUAUUAAAAUGAAAUUCUAAAUUAAGUGAUAUUGGAUCGUUAAUUAGUAUUCCCUUCGGUCCUAUAUAUAAGCAACAUUUGACUUUUUUGAUUCAUUCCAUAAAUGAUGUAUUUGAUUCAUAUUCUAUAUCAUAUACAUCAAUUACUCAAUAAAUUUAAAAAGUUAAUUUUUUUUUUAUAAAUAUGACCGGAGUGAGUAAUAUAGAGGAGGAACAACCAUUUUUCUGUUUUCUUUCUGACUUUGCUAUGGCACCAACAAGAAUCCUGAUUGAAGUACUAUGUGUUUGUAUCUAAAUAAGAGAUAUUUUUCCCAAUAAUGUCUUUAUUUAUGACUAACAUAAAUAUAAAGUGGAAGAGGUUGACAAAAAUGUGUUGCAUUAAAAAUUAAAGGAAUCUUUUAUUUUAAAACAAACUUCUAUUUAUUUUAUAAAUAGAUCAAGCCGUUGUAGGAUGGAGGUGGAACUAUAAAGUAAUCAAAUUGUUUUAAAAAUUUGACGACAAAAUGCUCUACAAAUAGUAACCAAUUUACUAAUAUCGGCAUAUGCCAUGCCUUUAUCCUGAUUCCAAUACAAGUUAAAACUGUUGUUGUUUGUGUGCCUCUUUCAAAAAAAAAAAAAAAUAAAUGUUGUUUUCUUGAAUAUUGUGUAUAUGACAAAAAGGGUUUGGCUUGUUUUAUUGGAGAAAUUAAACACAUGCCAAAUAUCUAUUGAAAAAUAGUGUUAAAAAAGGGUUUAUUCCUUCAUAUUUUUAGUAAAGAGCAAGUGAGAGUAGACUUAUUAACUUACUCCUUCAUAUUUUAGGUGGGUAUAAAAUAACAUCUUUUAUAUAUAUAUUCAAAAAGAAAAAUACUCCUUUUCAUUCAUUAGUACAUCAAACAAAACUAUGAAUGCAGCAUCAUUAAAAAAAUAAAAACAAAAGACUUGAAUAAAAAUCAAGUUUUGAUGAGUACGAUAGAAGAUUUGAAUCUAGAAUAGGGGACAAGAUUUGAACCUAGUCCACGAAAAUAAUAACAUUUCUGACACAACCCCGUGAAUGCACAAAUAAAGAAAAGAACAAGAAAGUAAAAACUGAUGAUAUCUCAUCUAAGAGUUACAAGAAAUAUGAAAGAUACUUAGUUUUAUUAAUAUGAUGACAUAUAAUUAUCAAUAGCCAUAGAUUACAAAAUAGAUCUUACAAACACACUGCAUUCAAUUUCACCAUCCAGCACAAGAGAAGAGCCCAUGUAUGUUCCCCUAGAACACACUCUUUAUUAUAGGUAGGUAGGUACCUUUCUUAUGCAACUUGUAUUAAAUUACUUGGUAUGAGCUAACAAUACCAUCUUCUGCUGAAUCUUUGGUGACUUUGGUAGCAAGACUAACAGUAUUAACAAAGUUACAGUGUGUUCUAACUUCACCUUGAGUUCCAGUUAACACUCCAAUAUUACCCAUCUUAAUCAUGGAGGCCUUAAAAGCUUCAAAGAAAAGAGUUUGAUUGCUGCUAAAGCUAUUAACAAUGGCAAUGGUAUCAGCACCAGGUGUGGAAAACAAUUCUUGGUCACUCUGAAACAACCCCUUUUGAAUCCUUAGGUUUGAGUAGUAGCUUGUGACAUCUUGUUCCACCAUUGGGACACCAUUGGGACAUCUUGUUCUCAAUGUUUGUAAGUAGGUUGUGUUGAGAGUUGGGUCAGGAUUUUUAGUAUUGUUCAAAUCGUAUAAUCGAUCAACGAAGAAUCCACAUUGACCUCUACCAAUUGUAUGAGCACCUAAUUUUUUUUUAAAAAACAUUAUGUUAUGAUUCUAAAUAGCAUAUGAGAAAAUACACUUGGCAAAAUGUAAUUGGUUUGGAUAAAUAGACAUGUGUCUAGUUAUUGUGCAUAAAUAGGGAAAAAAUGAUUAAUAUUAUUUCCACUUUAAUUUUCUCUUUUUCAAUUCUUUUUACUUAGAAAAGACACACAUGCAUAUAUGUAAAAAUAUAUGUACACUAAUGUUGCGUACACCUAUAGCUUUUUAGGAGACAAAACUUUUAUACCUGAAAGUGCAACAAGAUCAGUAAUGUUGAGACCUUGUUUAGAAAAGGAGAAUAUUAGCUGAGUAAGAUUCAAUUGGGGACGAGGAAGGUUUAAAUUAGCAAGAGUUUGAUUUGCAUUCAAACUAUCUCUUCUUCCUAAUGGAACUUCCCAAUCAGGACCAUGAGCCUGCAAAUUAUGUAACCAAGAAAAAUUAGAAUCACAAGCAAAAAAAUAAAUAAGAAAAGGAAAAAAAUAAUACAAGUAGUAGUAAUAAUAAUAAGUCGUGAGAAAAAAAAAAGUUUAUUAAAAGGAAUUAAAGAAAGGCAUUUUUUAGAGGUACUUGUCAAAUAUUCCUUUUAGUCUUUAUAUUAAGACUAAAAUCAACAAUAGGAAGAAAUUUUGUAGGAUUAAAAAAAAACAGAACUAAAAAUAAAAAGUAGUAUAUUUGCCAAAACUUAAACCAUAACAAAAAAAAAUGAAGGUUGAAACUUAAAAUAAUAUAUUUUAAUUGAUUGGUCUUUUUAUAUUUAGGUUGAAACUUUCAAGUUACUUACAGAUGGAAUCCCAGACAUUUUUUUAGUACUAUGAAGAAACCUAGCAUCAAAGAUGGCCGGCUAAGAGGCUUUCAAUACUAAUGACUUGUAUAACAAAUUUAUCAACUCAUUUAAAAAAAAUUCUGUCACAUAUAUUAAAAUUUGUUUUAAGUCUCAGUUAGAAUCUGUGGAACAUACCAGAACUGAGGAAAUGUUAGCACCAAGUGCAAGAAUAUCAGCACAAGACACAACACUAGGACAAAAUCACAGCCCUUAUUGAGUUUUUUAUUUGGCCUAGCUCCUUGCUCGCUCACGAUAGUAUUACUAUUAGUGGGUUUUUUCUAGAUUACCUUUGAAGAAUGGUAGGUAAUUUACCCACCAACCAAUGAAAAUGAGCAAUUUGUUGGUGGGGUCAAGAUAGUUCAUGGAUACCACUUAAAAAUGUGCUUAUAUGACUAAUGUGUAUUGGUUGGGGUAAAUUACCCACCAUUCUUCCAUGGGUACCCUAGUUGUCACCCUAUUAAUGUCAUUCAACAAGAUUGAUGCAUCACAGCCCUUACAUGUAUAGAUAUAACAUUUUAGAGUAUUAGAAAAUUGGUAAAUAUAUUACUCUUCAUAUUGGUGAGAUCAAGAUGAGUUCACUAUAAAACAUUUAAUUAACUUGAUGCAUAUGGUGAGUUUGACAAAAUCACGUAGUAACAUUUUAGUUUGAUACUUUAAACUUUCAACAAAAUCACACUGUUUCGUGAUUCUAUCAAACUCGUUGUGGCUUCAACAAAAUCACAUCGCAAUUAUACUAAAUACUAUAAUACAUACUUGAACAAAAGCAACAAAUGAAUAACUUCUCUCAUGUUUCUCCGCUAAUCAUGGGAGAACGAAAAUUAUGUGGGACCCACGCCAAUCUUGUUCCUCUUCUCUCUUUCUCACCUUUGCCAAACAAGAUAAAUGCCACACUUCUCUCCUCUUUCUCUCGUUGAUGUCUCUCUCUUCUACAUUUCUCUUGUACCAAGCAGAGGAUUAGGGAUAAAGAUUUAUAUUUUAGAGAAUUUAUAUUUAUGGACAUAGGUAGUAGCUAAUGGGGAAUAAAUAUUCUAAAUUGCACAUUAAUACUAGAUGGAUUAAAUAAUAUACCAUAUAGAGAGAUGAGCGAGAGAGUUAGAGAGAAAAAAAGAGGUGGCGGUUCAAAGCCAAGCCUUGGACCACCAUGUCGGUUUGCUUCGCCGGCUGAUAGGUUCUAUGGGAGGGGGGCAUAUACUGGGGAUGGAGAAAUUGGGGGGGGGGGAAUUGGGGAGAGUGGGCCAAGGUGAGAAACACACGGAUGAAAGCGAUGGAACCGGAGUUUUAGAGACAUUACAGACAACAUGAAAGCAGCAUGCAUGUAGGAUUUGGCAAGGACAAGGGUUAUGCUUUUGGAAAGUAGAUGAAAGGAAGGUCUUUUGAUCGAUUUGACAGGUUUGAUACGGAUUGGGAUUUGAGACCUAGGGUUUUUUAUGAUCACAUGAGAAGAAGGUUUGUUUCUCAGAGAAGGGUAAGGUCAACCACCCGCUGCGGUGAACAUUCUAGAUUAUGGGCGGAGGUGGAAUAACCCUACAACGCAGUGUUGGCCUGCUCUUUCAUGGCAUCAGCGUGCAACCCUUAGAGAAUGAGAGGAUAAUUGUUGAUGGUCGUACAUGUAUGUGUAAGUCCUCUCACCACAUUGUGAAUGAAGGCUCUAAUCAGUUAAAUGAUGUAUUCUAUAUUACUAAUUUUCCGGAGGACUUUGAGUUAAUUGAUUUGAGGAAGGGACUAGAAGUUUGUUGGAUUUUAUCUGAUAUUUUUGUUUCAAUAGAACGUAAUAUUAGAGGGCAAAUUUAUGGUUUUGUUUUUAAUGUGAUUAUCCUUUUGUAAAGUCAAUUUGAGCCUGUAGAUUUAUAACUUUUUGUUCGGUGACAAGUUACAUUACAAGUCUAGAGACCUUAAAUUGUUUACCUAAAUAAUAAUUAGAGUUAGGUUGUAGGGUGUUACUAAAGUUUAAGUUCGGGGUUGAUUUUGAAAUUUGCAACCAAUUAAGUUUGAGGGUGGGGAUACUAAAGAACUUAAGAGAAUAAAAUAUCUAUUCGAAAAUGAAUUGAUAAAGUGCAACAAAAGGUAUAGCAAAAUCAGAUAAUAAUAAUAAUAAUAAUAAUAAUAAUAUUAGAGACAAGAAAAAUGAAGAAAACAAUAAUAAUAUUGUCUCAUGGUCACAAUAGUUCUCUAGUACUUGAGUUUAUUUUAUGGGGUGAAUAAGGUAAAUGUACAAUGCGUAACUCCAUUGUUUGUUUUAACCUACUUUUUCAAAAAUUAUCCCGCAUUCACCUGAGCCUUGUUUCAACUUUUAAAGACCUUGACAGGGUGUUGACAUUGACUUUGAUAGUCGUUUUAUUUUUUUUCAAGUUUAUAGUAAUAUGUAGACCUGCAUGUCGACGGUGGAAAACACCUGUCAAAAUGUUGUGUGAAGUUGUGAAUUGUGGUUGUAGUCAAGCCAGUUGGCCCAUCAAAUGGCUAGCAAUGAGAUGAACUUUUUGUAUUAUCACUUGAUUAGAUAAUUGUUAUUUUUACUGUAGUUUGUCAAUUUUACAAGUAAAUUCCUUGAGGACAAAGAAUGAUUUGACAUGUUGUCAUUACAUAUUUUUUUUCCUAUUUAUUUUGAUGUUUUUAUUGAGUCUGUAACAAUUUUAGACAGCCUGAAGGUGCAAAAAGCAAAAAAUAUCAAGAAGUUGAAAUUAAAGCAUCGUGUUGGGAUUUUGCAACCGUGACACAAUUUUUCAACCAGAAAUUAAAGUUGUCACUGCCAGAAUAAUCGUGUCACGAUUACAUAAUCGUGACAUGGUUUGGAGGUGUGCCAGAAUACAAAUUUGAAUUUAAGGAAGCAAUCGUGUCACGAUUUUGGUCAUCAUCACACGAUUUUGAGCGCCCAAGACCUUGCCUAUAUAAGCUAACCUUGUUUUUGGGGAGGGGGUUCUGAAUUUUGGAGAUUUGAAGCAUGCUUUUGAGAGCACAAGACUGAAGAGGUGGCCAUUCCACCAAACUCAUAGUCAAUCCAUUGUAUGUUAGAAUGCUUCAAUUGAUUUUUUUUAUUUGUAAUCUUCAUUAUGAGUAAUUAAAUCAUUAGAGGUUAGGUCCGGAGAUGAUUCUGAUGUAGAUCUGUUUGAACCAUGUAGGUUGUGAAACACUAUUUUAUAUAAAUGUCAAUCUAAUUUUUAUUUAAUUCAAUUUGUUUCUAAUGCUUUUUAUUUUAUGUAUUGAUCACAUGUAAAAUGAAACCAAAGUAUGAAUGACUACUGACAUUAACUUUCAACUUAUACCUAAUUGAAUUGUUUAAUUAAACAUGGUUAGUCUAGGAAUGGAUAACCGUUUAAUUGUGAGAAUAUAUUAACAUUCUAAAAACCUUCGAACAAUAUGAGAGCACCUAAGAAAUUGGGGGAUGUAAUCUAAGAAGAGAACUCUGACUCAAGGGAUUGAUUAGAGUAAGUUUUGUUAAUCCUCGUAAAACUAUAGAAACAUUUGUACUCCCUCCGUUUCAAAAUGAAUGUCGUUUAAGGUUCUUACACACAUAUUAAUAAAUGCAUUAAUCAAAAGAAAGAGAGAUGUUAUUUUACCAAGUUAUCCUAAUCAACUAUUGGGUUGUUUUUCAUUAAAGAAAAAAUAAUAGCCUUAAUUGCACUUUUGACCCCCUAUCUUUUCAAAAGUUGCGAUUUUGGCCCCCUAACUAAUUAAAAUACAAAACAGCCCCCUAUGUAUUUGAUCUUUGGNNNNNNNNNNNNNNNNNNNNNNNNNNNNNNNNNNNNNNNNNNNNNNNNNNNNNNNNNNNNNNNNNNNNNNNNNNNNNNNNNNNNNNNNNNNNNNNNNNNNUUUAAUUAGUUAGGGGCCAAAAGUGCAAUUAAGCCUAAAAUACUUUGGAAGUAGUGUAUAUAGGAUUAAUUGAAUGAUACAAUUGAAAAAAAUAAGUUAUUGUUGCAUUGAAAACUGAAAGUGACAUUCAUUUUGAAAUAAUUUUUUUGCUAAAAUGACACUCAUUUUAAAACGGAAGGAGUAUUAUUUAGUUGCAGUCUACCAAUUGAUCGUAGUCAGAUGAUUUAAUAGACCUAAUCUCAUUUCUCCUAUUAUUUUCACAACACUUUUACAAGUUUUCUUAUUAUUUUAUGCAAAUCAAACAACCGCAUAGGACAACCCCAAAAUUUUACACAUAUAAGAUAAUAACCUUAUUGUUAAAUUGAAAUUAAUAUAGUCUUUGUGGGUACGAACUUAGAAUUAUUAUUUCGCUAGUUUUAAUACACUUGCUAAAAUUCUACUAGUAACUUAAAAAAACUAAUAAUAUAAGACAAAUAAUGUUGCAUUAAAAAUUAAAAGAAUCUUUUAUUUUAAAACUUAUUUCUUUGUAUAAAAAUAUAUCAAACCGUUGUACGUGGUAGGAUGGAGGUGGAACUAUAAAUUAAUCAACCAGGUGUGCUAUAUUGAAGUUUUAAAAAUUUGACUGACAAUAGUCUAUAAAACAAAACUAAUUUUCAGAAAUGUUGCUAGUAAGUGUUUUAAGGCACUUGUUAAGGAUUUAAAAAAGAAAAUAAUUUAUUUAUUUGAAAAAAUAAAAAAUUAUAAAUUUUAAGUAGAUUUUUUUUUAAAAAUUAUUGAAUACAUAAUUCUGAUAACGUUUUUUCUUUCAACAUCUUAACAUUUCUCUCUAACUACAAUCGAUAUAUGCCAUUAUCCUAAUUCCAAGACAAGUUAAAACUUUUUUUAAAGAAAGAAAGAUUAUUAUUUUUUUGACAAAAACAAAACAAUAUUCAUUUAUUUUAAUUGAUAGAGUACAUCGUUUAACAUCGUAAAAAAAGUAAAGGAUAAAUAUGUGAGCAAACUCAUAUCAUCCAAGUUAAUAGCAUACAGCUGUAAAAUACCGAUAAAUAAUAUGAUAAAAUUUAAAUGACGAAACACCCAUACCUCUAGAUCUACAACGUUGACGUCCAAAUAAUUGAAUAGUUGAUCUUUCAAUAACAAUCAGAUGAACACCACAACAAGACGAGAAAUCAAACAAUACUGCACAAGACGACGUAUAACAUUGCGUCACUCAUAGACAAUGAAAUCACGAAGAAAAAACCUAAAUCUACUAAAAAAAGUAGUUUAUUUAGAUUGAAAUAGAGAUGAAAAAAAAAAGAUGAAGAUGUGUAACCACACCUCAAUGAAGAAAAUAUAAGAGAUUAAGAUCUUUUAUUUUGUCUUAAUUGAAACCCGUGACUCUUCUUUUAUACAUUUUUUAUCACAACCCCAUGACUCUUAAAUAAGUUUUUUUUUUUUUUUUUUUAGGGAUAUUGCAUGUUAUAUGCAGGGGUCGGGGGUCGAACCCCAGACAUCCCACUUCUCCACAAUUAAAUUGUGUGAGCUCUAGCCAUUAGGCUACUUGACCCAAAAAAAAAUUACAAGUUUUUUUGUCAGGUAGCCUAGUGGCUAGAAUUCAUCUUAUAAGGUGAAUAAGUAGGGUGUCUGGAAUUUGAACCCCGGCUCCUGCAUAUAAUAAUGCAUUGGUCUACGAAUUGAGCUAUGCUCACGGGACAUUGCAAUUACAAGUUACUUCUAAGAUAAGACGCUUUUUAGUAUACACAAUUUUAUUAUUAUGCAUGUCGACAUAUCGGUGUGAGGUGUCCAUAUGAUGUCUAUGUUCAUCGUUCAUAGAUAUAAGCAAAUGUUACCUAUUUCUUUUUUAUUUAACCAUAGUAUAUAUCUCUAAAAUAUCCUUAAUCUAAUUACAGAAAUUGCAUAAACUGAAAGUGAUCAAACCUUUUUUUUACAUACACAAUUUUAUUAAUAUGACAUAAUUAUCAUAAUAGAGCGAAAUAGAACUUACAAACACACUGCAUUCAGUAGCCAUAGAUUACAAAAUAAAAUACAAAACAUAUCACAAUCCACAAAAGAGCACAUGUAUAUAUGUGCCCCUAGAAAACACUCUUUAUUGGGUAGAUACCUUUCUUAUGCAACUUGUCUUAAAUUACUUAGAAUGAGCUAACAAUACCAUCUUCUGAUGAAUCUUUGGUGACUUUGGUAGCAAGACUAACAGUAUUAACAAAGUUACAGUGUGUUCUAACUUCACCUUGAGUUCCAGUUAACACUCCAAUAUUACCCAUCUUAAUCAUGGAGGCCUUAAAAGCUUCAAAGAAAAGAGUUUGAUUGCUGCUAAAGCUAUUAACAAUGGCAAUGGUAUCAGCACCAGGUGUGGAAAAAAGCUCUUGAUCACUCUGAAACAAACCAUUUCCAGCUUGAAGAUUGGAGUAGUAGUUUGAGUCGAAUGUAUCGGGAGUGCUUACAUCCAAAUUGGUGAGGUUGGUACCUAGAACGCCAAUAUCUGGGCAUAUUGCUUGCAAUGAUUGUAGUAAGGUUGUGUUUAGAGUUGGAUCAGGAACUCCGGUGUUAUUGAAAUUGUACAUUCGAUCAUUGAAUAAAAGGCAUACACCUCUUCCAAUCGUAUGAGCACCUAAAAAAUGAUCAAAGCAUAUACAAUUAGACACCAAGUAUCGAGUUUAAAUCUCCUCCGAAACGGUUGUAAAAUGUACACAUGUUAUGUGUAGAGAUAUAGAUUUUAAGGAGACAAACAUUUAUACCUGAAAGUGCAACAAGAUCAGUAGUGUCGAGACCUUGAUUAAGAAAGGAGGUUUUUAAUUCAUCAAGAAGAAAUCGGGGACCAGGAAGGCUUGAAUUAGCAAGACUUUGAUUUGCAUUGAAACUAUCUCUUCUUCCUAAUGGAACUUCCCAAUCAGGACCAAGAGCCUGCGAGGAAAAAUGUGACACAAGUAAAAAAUUAUGGUCUCACACUAGUAGGAUUAAAAAAUAAUAAUAACCAGAAAUAAAAAGCAGUAUAUUUGCCAGAACUAAAAUCAUAACAAUAAAAAAUGAAGGUUGAUACUUAAAAUAAUAUAUUUUUAUUGAUUGAUCUUUUUAUAUUUAGUUUGAAACUUUCAAGUUAUUUACAGAUGAAAUCCCAAACAUUUUUUAGUACUAUGAAGAAACCUAGCAUCAAAGAUGGCCGGCUAAGAGACUUUCAUUACUAAUGACUUGUAUAACAAAUUCAUCAACUCAUUUUACAUUUUUUUUUUCUCUCUCCUUGAGUAGUUGACAAAAAAUAUCAUAUACAUGAAAACUUGUUUUAUGUCUCAAUUACUAUUAAAAAUUACUGGGUCGUCUUGUGAACGAGAUAGAGAAAAUGUCAAUAAUAUAUAGAGGAUGUGAAACGUACCAGAACGGAGGAAACAUUAGCACCAAGUGCAAGAAUAUCUGCACAAGACACAACACUAGGACAAGCAAGUUCGAUUGCGGCUUUGAUUUGAUUCACAAUAUCCAAACCUCUUAUUGAGUUUCUAUUUGGCAAAGCUCCUUGCUCACUCACGAUAGUAUCAGAGUCAUUCAACAAGAGUGAUGCAUCACAACCCUUUCAUAAACAUAGAUAUCAAAUAUAUGAGUUACAAAUAUCCAAAACUUAGUUAGAUGUUGGUGAGAAAUUUACAGUUAGUUUGAUAGAAUCACGUCGUAGCAUUGACACUUUAAACUUUCAACAAAAUCACAUGUUCUUUGUGAUUCUAUCAAACUCGUUGUGGCUUCAACAAUAUCACAUCGCAAUUAUUAUAUAUUAUAUAUAAUAUAAUACAUACUUGAACAAAACAAUCAUGAAAAUGAAGCCUAAUGAAACUGGCAAGGAUACGAGGAUCUGUCUGAGAAACGUUUGCUAAGAUACUUUGGACAAUGGAAGUGACAUUUGGACAUGUGUCCUUAUAGAAGUUAGGAUCAAGUUGUGCAUUUGAAGAGAAGGGAAACCCUCCAAGCACAACCACUACACAGCACAAAGCUGCUAAUGUGAGAUGAAAAGAAGAGUUCAUUAUUAUUUCUAUUGUUUUUUGAACUCUUGAAAUUUAAUUGUGUCUACCACAUAUGGGGUUCAUGUCUAUUUAUAUAGAGAGAAAUGGCUUGUGGAGGCAAUGUUCCUGCAUUUCAUUUCGUGUUUUGGUCGUUCAAAUUAUUAAUAUUCAAAUCUUCAUCUAAUCAUGUUGCUCUAACUAAAGACUAUAGAGAAAAAAAAUAGUUCUAAUCGCUGUCCAUCGUAAGCAGGUACAUAUUGACAAGAAAUAUUUACGUCAUUGAAAAUUUAAAAUAUGACGACAUUUUCUCAUUUAGGGAUAAAGAUUUAUGUUUCAGAGAAUUUAUAUUUAUGGAAAUAGGUAGUAGCUAAUGGGGGAAAAUUAAUCUAAAUUGCUCACUAAAACUAGAUAAGUCUUGAAAAUAAUGUAUAAAAAGUGUCACAUCUGAUUUCGUAAGAUGGUUUUUUAAUUCCCUAAAAAAAUGGUUUUUUAAUGAUAAAUCAGAUAUAACUAAUUUUUUUUUUUGACAAAAAAAUCAGAUAUAACUAAUAUAAACAAUUUUAAGGUUUAAAUAUGUUAUUAGUCUAUGCACUACCAUAAUUUUUGGGUAUUGAUCCACCACUUUUUUUUUUUUUUUUUAGGUCCAUGCAUUUGUAAAAAGAUUAUUAUUGGUCCCUCUGUCGAUCAACGGUUAAAAACAAAAAUAAAUUAAGUGUCACGUGGUCCAAUUAUUACACAUCAUGUGACGUAUUACAAGCUAAAAUUUUGAAAUUAAAAGAAUUCAAAUGAAAUAAUUGUUUUUUAAUUAGUAUCUUUCAAUCAGAUGACCUAUAAACAAUCUAGCCAAAUAGUAUAUAAAUAAUAACAAAUUUUCUUAAAAAACCGUUCUAGCAUGCCAAAAUACAACAUAUGUGCGGAUAAAUGGGAAGGAUUUACUGAUUGAAUAUCAAGUCAUUGCUUAACCAAUAUUCAAAUGCUCCAAAACACGUCACAUUCCAAAAAUAAAUAUGAUAUACAAUAUUUUCUUGAAGACCACAUCCAGUAACACACAUUGAAUAAUUCAUCGUCGAACUAAAUUAUCUUUUGUAGCUAACCUAUUAUUUAGUAAAUGUCAAGCAAAAAGUAGAAACUUUUAAUGGUAAAUAAUAUUCUAAAAUCCAUUAUGAUGGGAUGGUUCCUCCUCAAUUAGUAGAUGAUAAAUGUCUCUGACGGUAUAGCUUUUGUUAGGCGUAAGUUGCCAUUUUCACCUCCCUACCAUCCCAACCUGUAAAAUAAUGUUAGAUAGAAGCUCACUACACUCCCUCCAACAUCUCCUCCUCCCAAGCAAACAAUUGCCGCCAUCUCCCCCAAUCCACCAGUCUAAAGCAUACACCUCUGCAACUAUUACCAACCGAUUCCCUUUUAAUUCAUAAAGACGCUGAAGCCUAUCAUAGAAAUCCCCCCUCGAUCCACUUAUCUGAUCAGAAAAAAGUUGUAAUCUCAUCACCCAAAAUUCGCACCAAAUUAUCAUCAGACCAUAUAUCCAGUUCCAUACUUACCCCUACGAGUUCCCAUCUUUAAACUUAUAUAAAAAUUUGUAGACAUUUUUAUCGACAAAAGAAACUUCGAGAUGUUACUUAUAAAUAAAAUUUCAAUCUAAAAAUGAGUUCUAUAAUAGGAAUAUCCACAUUAAGAAUUUAAAAUACUGUUUUACUUUUUUUUUUGACACAAAAUAUUGUUUUACUUGCAACUAUAUAAAUUAGACUCUUAAAAUGGUACAUACUUUUCUAGAGUUUAACGAGAUAUAUCAUGGUUACAAAAUAGUUUUACACCUCCAUCCAAUAACAACCCAUAUAUUGUCAUUUAAGUUUAUAGUAUUAUAUAACGGCUUUGUAAAAGCCAAAUACUCGAUUGUUAUUAAACACCAACGUAAAACUAGUAUAACUAACAACAUAUGUCCAAUUUUCACUUGUUUUGAAAUAUAAUUUUUAUUUAACUAUUUCACAUAAAUUAAAAAGUUAGAUAAUAUUCAUUAAAAUAAUUCAACUCUAAAAUAUUUUUUUAAAUAUAAAGUAUUUUUCUAAAUAAUACUGUAACAGCAAGAAAAUAGGAAAUUAAGAGAGAUAUUUUUAUAAAAAGAAUAAUUAAUACAUUGAGUAAAUUAAUAAAGACUUCUAUGUUUUAGCUUAAUAAAAUAAGACUUUUUUUUAGGGGAGCUUAAUAAAAUAAGAUUUAUAUAUUUAUUUUUUAAUGACAAAAAAUGACUUGUAUUUAGGACCCGCCUGCUCAAUGUACCAAACAACAUUUAUUAAUUUUUUUUGACAAAACCACAUUUAUUUAUUUUUUUUAAGGACAGAACAACAUUUAUUAAUUAUUCCUUUCUCCCUCAAAAAAAAUUAUUCCUUUAAAAAACAUUUAUGAAUUAUUUAUUAUAAUUAUUUUGGUACAAACUACGGUCACAUUUUAAAAUAAAAGUUGUCCCUAUGUGCAUACAUGCUUUUGUCAACAAGUUCUGCACCCUUUUUUAAGACUCUUUACAGAUAAAGACUUUUGAACCAAGUGUUUAAAAUGAUAUGAUUAAUCAGUUUCAUUAAAUGAUGAAUUGUUCGGUAGAAUCUUAGAUUAACAUGAGUUAAACAAUUUUUGAGCGCUUUUACUUACUUUUCAAUUAAUUUUUGGAUUACCAAAGGUCAUUCUCUUAAGAAUCAAAGAUUACACAUAAAAUAAAUAAAUAAAGACUUCGAGGUUUACCCAUUCGAGUUAUAUGUUUUUAAAGUCACUAACAUCACCAUAUGUUGAUCCAUGUUCGUCUUAUGUAGGGAUAUAGUUAUUGAUAAAUUUUGCAGUUAAAAUAAUAGGUAAAAUAUCUUAUAUUUAGGAACACAUCAGAAAUACCCAAGGAAAAAUACUUUCUUGGUGGUGCCAUAUCAAUGACCCAAAGUAAGAUCAAAUAGGUGAUGGUGUAUAGAGAACGGAAAACUAUUUUUGUACAUUCAUUACCCAUUCUAUAUAUGAGAGUGAUGUGCGUUGGAUAGAUAUGAGAUAAGAAUAUGAUAUGAUAGAAAGAAAAAAAAAAAUAUAGAGAAAAUGUUGUAUUGAAUGGGUGUAAAAAAAUAAAAGGUCUAGAGAAAAAAGAGAGGGAGUAUUAAACAACACAGAGAGAAAAAAAAAAAGCACUUGGAAACUACUCACCAAAGGGGAGUUCGGGAAAAGUAGAAAGUUUGACUGAUCCGUAUCCAUUAUACAUGUUAAAAUACUCACCUUCAAACAUGAAAUUUAAGAAUCAUAAGAUAUUUAAGGUUUAAAUAUAUCCAAUGACUUUUGAAUAACAUAGAACGGAAAAAAAAAUUAAAGACAUAAAAAUGGAAUAUAUUAACAACGGUAGGGAAACACCUAAGUAUAAGAUGUACUAAAAGUGUCACCCCUAAUAAUAGUCAGACAUGCAAAGUAAAGUCAAAGCAAAGGUCAAUCGAUACUCAGACAUAAUAAAGGGUCCGACCACCAUCUUUGAGUACCGAACAUAAAAUUGACUUUGUUAGCUUUAAGCCACCAUAAAGAGUGAAAUUUUACUUUAUCUGCUAGUUGUUCAACGGUGGUUUGGAUGUUAUUAUAAAGCAUAUUAUUACGUUCAUUCCAAACCAACCAAAUAAAAAGUAACCAAAUAAGUUGGAGAAAUUAUUGACGAGCCUUUGAGUGACCUGUAGAGUGAGUAAACUGAAUGAAAUGGUCAUCAAUAUUAAGGAGGUCGACACCUGACAUUCUGAUCCAAGACCUGAUAAGAUGCCACAAUGAACCAAAAGUGGCGCAGUGAAUAAAUAAAUGAGACGCAAUCUCUGCCAUACCGCACCCUGUAACACACAUAACUGCCUCGCCAUUGAUUAUGCCACGCCUUAGAAGAUGGUUCUUAGUCGGCAACCUAUCUCGCAACAAUCGCCAAGUAAAAAUGGAAACCUUCAGCGGCACCUGCUUAUGCCAGAUAAGAUCUCCUAUAGUAACAUCUGGAGGUUCAGCCUGAGUAGUAAGGUGAUGAUAGACGCCUCCCACACUGUAACCACCAGCAGAAUCAGAGUCCCAUUGCCACCUGUCAGAAAUAUUAUGCUGCAAAACGACACCAUUAAUUAAUUGCCUACACUCCUCUAGCAUCUCCUCCUCCCACACCCUCAACAUUCGCCUCCAACCCCACGCCUCUCCGUCAACCUCCCCACCAAUAGCAACCAUAUCAGCCACCGUACUCAGUUUAUUAGACGCUAAGUCAAAUAAACAACGGAACCUGGUACAAAAAGGAGUAUCACCAAGCCACCUAUCAUGCAAAAAGAAAGUACUAGUGCCAUCCCCUACCUUUUUCGAUACCCUCUGUGCAAACCAACCACCCUCUACAUCGCCUACCCCAUCCCUAAUCUUAGCUACUUCCCGCCACCAAGAUGAAACACUCCGGCCCCCAACCUCCAACCGCCCAACUGUCUCACCAUACCGCGCUACCAGAACCCUAUACCAUAACCCGCCUCUAUCCACCAUCAUUCGCCAACACCAUUUGCCUAACAAAGCGCUAUUAAAUUCCUGCAACCUCCUUACCCCCAACCCUCCAUACUCCCUACACAAACAAACAGAGCUCCAAGCAAUCUAGGAAAUUUUCCUGUUAUCCUCACUCCCUCCCCAAAAAAAAUGUAUUAAACAUAGAUUCAAUGAUAGAGAUUAUACCUGACGGAGCCUUGAAGAAUGAAAGAGCAUAAACAAAUAACACGGUCAGGACAGACUUCAGAAGGACCAACCGACCUCCAUAUGAAAGAAAACGGCUUUGCCACCUCCAUAGAACGAAAAUUUGAAAUAAAGAAAAUGCAAACAUAUGAAUUCAUGAUGAAAUUGUGAGUAAUAAAAUAGUGGUAUUGGUUGAGAAAGUGUAAACAUAAUCACAAACAACGAGUCAAAAUUUCUAAUCGAAAUUGCAAUGAGGAAUUUAAAAUUGAAACUCUAGUUACGAAUAAGAUUAGAGUUAAGGAUUAGAGUUCUUUUGUAAAUUGCAAACAAAACCUUACUUUCUUUUUAUCUUGUAUGGAUUCGAGUUAAAAAUUAUUGCAGUUAAAUCUAUAAACUUAAGUGUUUAAGACUCAAUAUAUUGAGUCAAAAAAAGGUCAUUGUAUAACCUCAUAUAAAAUUUACAAAAAAAAUAUAGACACAAAAAAAAAAUAUAAAAAAAAUACUAAUAUGAAGAGAGAAAAAAACUUGAACGAUUUUGGUCUAUGUUGAUCCCCUUCUAACUCCGUAUUACUAAUUAAUGAUUAAGGUCCAUUUGGUUUAAGAUUUACAAUUAAAUAAAAAUAUCCAAAUAGUUACAAACUAUGAAGAUGAAAGAGACAUCUUACGAAAAUGAAAGAGACAUUAUAGUUUUAGAGAAGACUAAAAUGUGAAAUUAAGGAGUAUAUUUUAAUCAAAAGUCUCACCUUUGUUUUUUUGGCUCAAAAAGACGGUUAAGACACACUUAAUGGAAAUCACUCGAUGCCAAGAUCACUCAUCUACUUAAAAGUUCAAACUUUAGCAAAAAAACAAACUUAAACUUUUGAACAGAAAAAACAAAUUACAAUACCAAAGGCCAUGGCCACAUAACUCUAUAAGUUAAGGUUCACUACAUGUUAAUUCUCGCAAAAACAAAAAACACACAAUUUAAAAUUAAUUUUAGAGAGAAAAAUGAUCUAUGUAGUGGUUGUUCUUGGAGGGUUACCUUUGUUCUCAAAUGCACAAUUAGAUCAAUACUUUUACCGUGAAACUUGUCCCCAAUUGCAUUUUAUUGUACACAAAGUUGUAUGAAAAGCUUCAUUAAGAGAUACUCGUAUUUUUGCUAGUCUUGUUAGGCUUCACUUUCAUGAUUGUUUUGUUCAAGUAAGUCCUUCAAACUAAUUUUCAGUUUUGUUUUCUAAUUACAUGGUUAAAUUUGUAAGAUAUAUAAAAGACAUGCUUUUAUCUAAUCAUGGUUUUGAACAUUUUCACAUGGAAAAUCGUGGUUAAAUUGAUUUACUCUAUAAACUAUCGCAUAAAUUAUUUUGAAAAGUUUACUGAAAUAAACUAAAAUAUAUGUUGAUAAACUAUUUUUACAAAUAUUUGCUCUUUUAUUUUUAUUUUUAUUUUUGUUAAUGACAAAUGUUAGUAUAUUAAUUAUUAUGUUGGUAUUUUUUUUUUCUCAUGUCAUGAUUCAAACUCAUAAUUUUUAACUAAUUAACUCUUUCAAAAUGUUAGUUCAACCAAGUGAGUUAUCCAUCCUCAUUUCCCAUAAAUAUUUAUACUCUAAGAUAUGUCCGAAUAAAAAAUCGAUAAAUUAUUCCAAAAGGACCAAAAGCAUCCAUAUAGUACUAAUGUACUUUUGCUGCAUAUUGUAACAAAAUAAAUAAAUUGCAAAUUUAUUUUUAAAAGAUUAAUUUUUAUGCACCGGUGGUGUAAUUUAGACAACAUCUAAAAAUAAAUCAAAUACUCUAUAUACACCAAAGUAAAAUAAAAUAGCGUAAAAGUAGAGAACAAUAACACAUGCGAAGUAGAUUGAUUUUUUUUUUUUGACAAAGUAGAUUGAAAUUUUAGCACCCCAAAACAUCAUAUGUCAAAUGCAGCUAUUGAUAAAAAGAACAACCUAACAAAAAAGUUGAUGCGUCUCACAUCGGUUUUUUUCCGUAUUGUUCUCACAUCGGUUUCAUAAUGAUGAGUGUGUUUCACAUGAUCUUGAAUUAUCAAAUUCAAUUCUACAAUCCUUUCAAUCAAUACAAGAAAAUUGACAUUACUAUAUUGAUAUGAUUUAUUUUUUUGAAAUCUUUGAAAAACAAGAUUAAGAUUAAUUUCUCUAGUAUGCCCAUUUUCAACUAAAAUAGAAUUUGUUUUGCUUUGAAAAUCAUCUCAAUUUCUUGCAUAAUAAAUAUCAUCGAUAUUUUUAAUAUUAAUGAGGCACAUUAUUAGGAACAAAAGGCCCAAAAAAAUAUCACUAAUUUCUUCGAUAAUAAAUUUUUUAGCAUAUUAUUAAGAACAACAAAAAAAAAUAGAGGAGAGUGUAUAUAGAAAUAUUUAUGCUACAUGUGGUAUAUAUAGAAAAUCUCGUUAAAAGGGCCAAAAACAAUAACAGAUUUCAGCCUAGUCUUUUAUCAUGUCAAAGUUUGGGCCUUUCAGAGAAUUUUGCUAUAUAUACCCCCAAAAUCCAAAUAUUUCUAUAUACACCCCACCUUUAAAAAAAUUGGGCCCCCUACCGGCAUGGCCCUUGGUCGUCGUACUCCCCGCCUAUGCCCUAGGGCUGGCCUUGACACCCAUUAGAACAACCCCCACCAAAACCAACUUCACCGCCUAAAUCAAACUCCAUCGCGAAACGCCACUAAAAACAAAAUCCAUAAACCACCUUCACCCGCUUAUCAAGUAAUAUAGUUGCUAGUUGCUACACAGUUUAAAUAUGAAAAAAAAAAAAAAAGUUUAAAUCUUGUCCUCCGUAAAUAAUGUCCUUAUUAGCCUUUUUUUAAUAGCAAUGACCUUAUUAACUAUCAAUUAAGUUACACUUAGGAAACCUAUAAAAUUUAUUAACCAUGCUUUAAGAUUACAGUUAGAUGCAUAAGGGAUCAUUUCGUUAGUCAAAUUUGUACAGCCUUUAUCAUAAGUCUAUGAGUAAAGUUUCAAAAUAUAUAUCAUAUACAUGUGAUGCAUCGGUUUUGCUGAACAACACAGCAACAAUCGUAAGCGAACAACAAGCUUUUCCAAAUAUCAACUCCAUAAGAGGUUUGGAUGUUGUGAUUCUUGUGAACAAAAUCAAGACAAACUUUGGCUAAUCAAAACCUUCCAACACUACUGAUCUAGUUGUACUCUCUAGUAUAAUGUAUGUGUUUGUGUUGCAAUUAUUUAUGCAAAAUAGAAAUUAAUGAAUCAAAAUAUAAUUUUGGAAUUAAAUCAUGUACAAUUUAGCAUCUUAAUUAACUCCAAAAAAAUUAGCAUCUUCGUUAAUCUUGGCUGACUUAAAAAUAUUUUUUUCUUAUUUGGUUGGAUUCAGAAUUUUAGUAUAUUACUUGUUGAUUAUGUUAAGGAUUUAAGUUUCAUAUCAAUCACAACCGUUAAGUUAUUAAAAACAUGGCUUAAAAUAUUGCAACCCUUAUCUCAAAAUCAGUUAAACAAUCCAACUCUAAACAUUUUCUUAAUAAAAAUGUACAUAUGAUAGUAUUGAUAUGUAUGUAUGGAUGUGUUUAUAUAUAUAUAUAUAUAUGCAUGUUUCGAGUUCAGGUGGUCGUACAUUUGGUAGUCUUUUUGUUGAUUGAUUGUAUAACUUCAACAACACCGGGAAUAAAACCUGAUCCUACUCUUGACACAAGUUACUUAAAAAAAAACUACGCAAAAUAUGCCCCCAAAAUGGAACCGGACCCAACCGUCCCUAAUUGAUUUCUUUGUGUCUAGUUUUCUCUAUGUGAAUGAAUUUUUAUACUUUUCAUGUUGAAUUGUUGGUGUUUUAGGGUUGAAAUCGAAUGAGUUUUCCAUUUGAAUCGAGUUUUCAGUUUUGAUUUUUGGGUUGUGAUUUCGUUUUCAAUGAAAUCUGAGCUUUUUGUUGUGAUUUUAGUUAAGUAUAUCAAUUUGGGACCUUUUAAGUUUCUUUUUUGAAGAUGUUGAAGAAUAUGAUGAAUCAAGAUAUUUGUGAUUUUUUAUAUUUAUAAAAAUUAUCAAUUUGUUGAUUUCGAUAAUUUAUGCAGGAGCCGAGUUCGAACCCCGAACAUCUCACUUCUCUACAUUUAAUUGUGUGACCUCUAGACUAGGCUACAAGCAAAAAAAAAAAAAACCACACAAACACUUUUAACGAUGUUGUUUAAAUUGACUUAUUUAAGAUCAUCUACUAACAUAAGUUUUUUGAGAUUAUUUCUUCAAAAAAAUAAGUUUUUUGAGACUAUUUAUGAGAGCUUAUGAAAAUAGUUUAUGACAACUUUCAUAAGCUUUUUUCAACUCAUUUUUCAUAAGUUCUCCAAUAUAGUAUACAAAAACAACUUAUAGUAUAUACAAAAACAAUUUUACCUUAUUUUAUCUUUUAAUAUAAAAACAGCUUGAUUUAAAAAAUGAUUAAAUAAUAUUUUUUAAUUUUUAAAAAUUGACUUUCUUCUGUAAUGGUUGAAGUUUGAACCUCAGAUCUUCUUAUAUAUAUAUAUAUAUAUAUAUAUUAUGUAUUAUUCCUACCAACCCGCCAACUGAGUUAAAACAUUUACAAAGAUGAUUAAAUAUUAAAUACUCCCUCCGUCCCUAAUUAUAAGACCCUUUUGAGAAUUUAUUUUUUUCCUUUUUAUAAGACACUUUUGUUAUUUCCAACUACAUUAAUUAUUUCUUUACAUACAUGCCCCUAUUUAUUAUACAUCUUUUUCUUCAAUCAGCAAUAAGUAGCAUAUGGAAAACAUAAACUAACUCUCACUCUUAAGGAUAAAAUUGUAAAAACAAUAGUGAUUACAAACAACUUUAAUACAAAUAUCUGCUUUUUUAAUUCGCGUGAUUUUAACAAAAGGGUCUUAUAAUUAGGGACAGAGGGAGUAGUUGUUAAAAUCUAAGUAAAAAAAUACAGUGAAAAUUAAGUAAAAAAAUACAGUGAAAAUAAAAACAUUUGUAAAUUCUACACCGUUCAACCGAGAGACAUAAACCCACUCAUUUCUGAAACUUAAACCCUAGCAGCAACCUUUGUUUUGUCUCAUCAAAAACCCUAAAAACCAAAAAUCGCAAAUUUCCCAAAUCUCUCAAACCCUAAUCAUGCCCGCUAAGAACAACCGCAAGAAGAAUUCACGCGACCCAUUUUUCGACGACGGUCCCACCAAACGCCGCAGAGUAGCCGCCGACGAGGAUCAAGAUGCUGAGAUUGAAAGUGAUAGUGAUUUUGACGAAGAUGGUUUUGUUCCAUCGAAAGGUGAAGGGGAACAGGAGUCUGAAGAGGAAACUACAGCUGAAGCUAGGAAGAGACUAGCUGAGGAGUAUUUGAGGAAGUUUAAAGACAGUGCUAGGAGAGAGAAGGAACAAAGAGAUGAAGAUGGUGAUGGAAGUGAUGAUGAUGAUGAUGAAGAUGAGGAUGGGGUGAGGGAUUCGCUAUCUACGAAGAUGAUAAAGGAGCAGCAAGAGGAGAGUGGUCGCAUCAGAAAAGCUAUUGCUUCAAGGUUUGAUUUUGAUAAAUUUGAUACAUUAUUCAUUAAUUGCCUGUGUUAUGUUAUGUUGUGUUUUGAUUUUUAAUUUUGAUUUGAUUUCAAUGCGACCCUUUUGGUUAAAUUGCUUGUUUUUGUGUUUUGAUUUUGAUUUCAAUGUGACCCUUUUGGUUUAAUUGAAUAAUUGAAGCAAUGGGUUGUGUUUAUUUUGAUUUCAAUGUGACUCUUUUGGCUAAAUUGACUGAUUUGGGUGUGUUAUUUAGGGUUAAAUUGGAUGGUGAUGGUGGAUUUGAAAAUUUAGUGAAGCAUAAACAAUGUGUCACUGCGGUGGCUUUAUCUGAGGACGAUUCUAAGGGGUUUUCGGCUUCGAAAGAUGGAAGCAUUGUGCAAUGGGAUGUUGAGAGCGGGAAAUGUGAGAGGUAUAAGUGGCCCAUUGAUUCGGUUCUGAAGUCUCAUGGCUUGAAGGAUCCUCAAGGUUCUGCUGCAAAGCAAAGUAGACAGAUUUUGACUUUGGCUGCAAGUUCGGAUGGUCGCUAUUUGGCAACUGGGGGACUUGAUCGUCAUAUUCAUAUAUGGGAUACACGCACUAGGGAGCAUCUUCAGGUACUUUUGCCUUUUCAUUCUUUGAAAAUAAAAUUGUUGGAUAUUUUUUGGGGGUGGAACAGAUUAGUACAGCUCUAGGUGCACUGUGAGAUUGUUUAUUGUUUGUAUUUACAGAUUAAGGAAAAUUUAUACUCCUUUCCCUUGUUUGGUAACAUUCAUUUUUCGAUAAAAUUGUCACAUAACUGUUGAUAUGUCUUGCUCUAUUGAUGUGUUUGAUAUAUUUGUUGUGAAUUGUGUGUAAAUUUGAUUCAAACUGAGCAAGAUUUUAUAUGUUAACAUAAGCGGUUAACUUACCUUAAUUUGUAUUUAGUAAUUCUUGGCAUUUGCACAAGUACAAGCCUAUUUAUGACCAAAUCUGUAGGAUAUUGGACUGUUUAGUUGGGACUUGUUAUUGUUGGUGUUUGAUUUUGUCUGUUGUCUUUUACAGGCUUUUCCUGGUCAUAGAGGUCCUGUUUCUUCUCUGGCUUUUAGGGAAGGAAGUACCGAGCUAUUUUCUGGAUCGUUUGAUCGAACGGUUAAGAUAUGGAAUGUUGAGGACAGAACUUACAUGAAUACUCUGUUUGGCCAUCAAAGUGAAGUAUUAAGUAUUGAUUGUUUACGCAAAGAAAGGGUAUUAUCUGCUGGCCGUGAUCGUAGUAUGCAGUUGUUUAAGGUAAUCUCACCAAGAUGAAGUCUUAAGUAUAUGGCUGCAAAACCAUAUUGUAUAUGUCGGAUAAUUUCUCCCACCAUUGCUCUGUUUUUGGAAAAAUAUCAAGUGAUUAAUUAAUAGGAAUUUUUUUUCCUGUCAUCAAAUGCUGUUUCUUGGGUUAUACUGAUUUCCAUUUCCUCAUGAGACUUUUUUCUGAAUAUUUACUGAUGUGUAUUCUCUGUAAUUUAGGUCCACGAAGAGUCACGUCUUGUAUUUCGUGCUCCUGCAUCUUCUUUAGAAUGCUGCUGUUUUGUUAAUAAUGAGGAAUUCUUGUCUGGUUCGGAUGAUGGUAGCAUUGAGCUUUGGGGUGCAGUACGAAAGAAGCCUAUUCAUAUUUUGAGGAAUGCUCAUGCUUUACUGACAGAUAGCAAGAAAUCUGACCAAAACGAUAGUGAAAGACUACCCAACGGUAACCUAGGUAAGCCUUUAAAUACUAUAUUAAUAGUUCCUUCAGAAAAUUACUUCUUAUGUGCAACGUAUUUUCUUAUCCGUUGCUUACUUUUCUGAAUGUGUUCUAUUUCCUCUAUGAUUCUAUUUUCAUUUACUCCAUAAAUAUAUCUGUCAUUUGUGUAUUUGUAGUGUGAGUUUAGUUAUAGUUAGCAUUAUGUUAGGAUCAUAAAGUGAUACCAUUAUCUUCACUAUGCAGAAAAUGGUCACCACCAUCCCGAGAAUCACCAUUGUUCUUCAGUACACUCUUGGGUCAGUGCAGUGACCGUCUGUAGGAACAGUGACCUUGCCGCAUCUGGUGCGGGUAAUGGUUUUGUUAGAUUAUGGACAAUUGAAAACGAGACCAAAGACAUUAAACCUCUUCAUAAUGUACCGUUGGUAAGUAGAAGGAUAGCAACUAAACUCAUUUAUCGGAUUCAUAUUCAUGCUUAGCUGUAAUUGCAGUUGAAAAUUUCACUGGCAUGUAAUAAAUCUUUUGAAUCACAGGUUGGGUUUGUGAAUUCUUUGGCUUUUGCGAAAUCAGCAAAAUUCCUUGUUGCUGGAGUUGGGCAGGUACUUAAACUGUUAAAUUCGGCAUGUAUUGCUCUGUUUUUCUUCUUUGGUAUACAUUUUACUUAGUUAUCUCUUUGACUCUGCUUGCGAGUUUGGAGGGAAGGGGAGGGGAAGGCUUUGGGGGGAUGGGAGUAGAGGGAAAAAUAGAGAAAUCUUCCAUCUUUUUUGAAAUAGUGAUCUUGUAGAGAAUGGUAAAUGAAUGUUUAUGAUUCAAUAUAUUUUUCAUUUUGAGAGUAUGAUAACAUAGAUUGGAUUUAAAGAAAUUAUCUAAACCCUCCAAAACCCUUAUACAAUACAGUUUGAGUUUCCCCAUUUUGAGGGAAUUUUGUAUUUGAAGAAAAAUAAACCCCUCAAAGCCAUCCCCUCCCAAAACCCUUCAUCCCUUACACUUCAUUAUUUCUUUUACCCAAAGCCCUCCCUCUCCCUUCCCCUUGCAAACAGAGCCUUAAACUCUAUUGACAGAAAAGCUAGAGCCUUAAAAAAUUUCUACUUCGGAUAUUUUCUUUUACCGAACUACUUUAGAAGUUAGUUAAUUGUUAUGGGAUUAUCAUAAGCAUAUUAAUAUAGAACUAAAUUUUCUGUGAUUAUGGAAUUUUGUGCUCUCUUGCUUUGUUUUCCUAAUACUCUUACCCCCUAAAAACUCUAUUGCUUAGAGUGCAUUUGAUGGAGUGGUUGUCUUACAGACAAUUCUGUGUAUGUUAGCUUGUGACUGUGAAGCUUCCCCCAUAUUAAGUGAUUAAAGUGGAGGAAUUAAUAACAUUAAGGGUCUCAGGUCUAGAUUUGGCUGCACUCACUCAGUUAGGUUUCAGGUUGACCACCACAAUUGUAUCCCAAAAUGGAUAUCGCUACAGCGGGGCUGACGAACCUUUAGUAAACUACAUUUAGAAGGCUAAUUUCAUUUUCUUGACUUCUUUUAUACGCCAAUUAUAUGAAUUAGACUUGUUUUAUCUAGUAACUAGUAAAUAGGUGGCCACCAACAUGGAAGUGGUUGAAAUUAUUGGAUGAGAGAGUGAUUGAUUGCUUCAAUUCUAUGGAAACACCAUUGGAUAUUGUUUACACUUUUAGAUAGAUUGCAUUUUACAGAAUAAUUGUGGCUAUUGUUGGUUAGUCAUACCCAUUGACGAUCAAAUUGUUUGACUUCACAAAAAACAAACCUUGAUCAUCAAACCUAACUCUUGCUUUUAACUGUAAGCUUAGCUGAACUCGAAAGUUGGGAGGGGAUACAGAAAAGAUGUUUAGGACUCUCAACAUAUAAUCUCUGUAUAGAUUGAGGAUUUAUUAUUAGUUCAUUCAUUAGUGUAUUGUUUAAUACUUUUAACUUAACAAAAUGUCUGUUUACAGGAACCGCGUCUAGGAAGAUGGGGAAGAAUACGUGAAGCUCGAAAUGGAGUUUCAAUUCUUCCACUUAAAUUGUCAUGAGAUGUGAGGCAACGAUUGUACCUCUUCAAUUUUGACUAAUUCCAAAUGCAACAUUGAGUUGAAAGAUAUCUCUGUCCGUGAUCUUAAUUAUAUGUAUCAAUUACAUUUGUUAUUAUUAGUGCCCGAUUGUUUGAGAAUUUUGAAUCAUGAUACGAGGUUCCUACAUUGAAAAAGACUUGAGGACUCGAGUUGAACUUAUUUAGUUUCAAGAAAUCAACUGUUUUUUCUUUUAUAGACAUUUAUUCACUUAGGCAUCUAUGAGUAAGCAUGACUUUGGUUCUAUAAUAACAAAAAAUGAUUUGGAUUGAAUUAAUCUUAGAAAAUCGAUUUCCAUGAAAAAUGGUGAUUUAUGAUUUUGAUGGUUUGGAUCAGAAUUGUUUGAGAACAAGUUGGUCACUGCAGAAGCUAAAAAUAUUAGCUUUUAGGUUUAAUUGACUUUGGUUCUACAAUAACAAAAAAUGAUUUGGAUUGAAUUAAUCUUAGAAAAUCAAUUUCCAUGAAAAAUGGUGGUUUAUGAUUUUGAAAGUUUGGAUCAGAAUUGUUUGAGAACAAGUUGGUCAUUGCAGAAGCUAAAGAUAUUAGCUUUUAGGUCUAAUUGACUGAGGCUGUAAUCAAUGUUAAAGUUGGAAGCCAAACAUAAUUUUUUGUGAUUUAAGUAGAAUCAUUUAUGGUGCUCCAAUCAAUUCUACUCAAAAGCAAUUCUGCACUAACAAAAUCAAUUUUGACAUUCCUGAAAGUGGAACCAAGUGGAACCAAACUUGCAAUAAAUUAUUUUUUAGGUCAUCAAAAGCGAAUUUAUGCAGACUAUUUAGUUAACAAGAUUGGAAUGAUCAAAACUUUACCCACUAUUAUAGUGUAAAUUAAUUUGGGAAAAACUUUUUCCGUUGUAUAUACUACAAGAUUUAUGAACAAUCGGGACGAAUUAUAGAACCCGAAUGUCAUAAACAACUAUUGGAGUUUGAUCGUGAGGAGGUAAGUAUACUAUUUUGUUACAGUUAGAGGAAAAGGUUUUGGUAGACUAAAUAGGUUCCAUCUUAAU